GCAAUUGGGAGGCUACGGGAGCUGUUCUACUUGUUUCUGGUUCAAAAUGAGUUCAACGGCACCUGACCAAUGGAGAUUGGUAAUUUGGCGAAUCUUGAACAAUUGGCCAUGGCCUAUAAUGAAAAAUUCCAGCCUUCAGCCCUUCCAAAAGAGUUUGGCGCAUUGAAGAAGCUGAAAUAUUUGUGGAUGACGGAGGCGAAUUUGAUUGGCGAAAUACCGGAGAGCUUCAACAAUCUAUCGAAUCUGGAACUCUUGGACCUCUCAGUCAACAAAUUGGAAGGUACGAUCCCGGGAGGCAUGCUUACGUUGAAGAAUUUGAACUAUUUGCAUUUAUUCAUUAAUAGAUUGUCCGGCCACAUUCCUUCAUCCAUAGAAGCUCUCAACUUGAAACAAAUUGAUCUUUCCGACAACCAUUUGAUGGUCCAUACCAGCGGGUUUCGGGAAGCUACAAAAUUUGACGGGUUUGAAUCUUUUCUGGAAUCAGUUGUCAGGAGAGAUACCAGCAAAUAUAAGCCUCAUUCCUACACUAGAAACCUUCAAAGUUUUUAGCAAUCAAUUGAGUGGAGUUUUGCCCCCAGCAUUUGGCCUUCAUUCGGAGCUCAAAUUCUUUGAGAUUUUUUAGAAUAAACUAAGCGGGGAAUUACCUCAACAUUUAUACGCUAGGGGGGCUUUGCUUGGAGUGGUCGCUUCCAACAACAAUCUCAGCGGGGAAGUGCCCACGUCCCUCGGGAAUUGCACAAGUUUACUCACCAUUCAGUUUUCCAACAAUCGUUUUUCAGGUGGGAUUCCUUCCGGAAUCUGGACAUCCCCGAACAUGGUAUCGGUGAUGUUAGAUGGAAAUUCAUUCUCAGGGACACUUCCAAGUAAAUUGGCAAGGAAUUUGUCUAGAGUGGAGAUCGCUAACAACAAGUUUUAUGGUCCAAUUCCUGCUGAAAUCUCUUCCUGGAUGAACAUCUCUGUGCUCAAUGCCAACAACAAUAUGUUGUCUGGAAAAAUUCCAGUGGAAUUGACUAGUCUUUGGAACAUCACUGUUCUGUUGCUUGAUGAGAAUCAAUUCUCGGGUGAACUUCCAUCCCAGAUCAUCUCAUGGAAGUCGCUCAAUAAGUUAAAUCUCUCAAGAAACAAACUUUCUGGCCUAAUUCCCAAGGCAUUAGGUUCUUUAACUAGCCUUAGUUACCUCGACCUGUCAGAAAACCAGUUCUCAGGUCAAAUUCCUCCUAAACUUGGCCAUUUGAACCUUAUUAUCCUCCAUCUUUCGUCCAACCAACUCUCUGGGAUGGUCCCCAUUGAGUUUCAACAUGAAGCAUAUGAAGACAGUUUCUUGAACAAUCCCAAGUUGUGUGUCAAUGUUCCCACUUUGAACCUCCCUAGAUGUGAUGCCAAACCCGUCAACUCCGACAAAUUGUCAACCAAAUAUCUCGUUAUGAUCCUAAUUUUCGCUCUAGCUGGUGCUUUCGUCUCCUUGUCCAAGGUUCAUAUCUAUCAUAGGAAGAAUCACAGUCAGGACCAUACAGCUUGGAAAUUUACUCCAUACCAUAAACUAGAUCUCGAUGAAUACAACAUAUUGUCCAGUUUGACAGAAAAUAAUCUGAUCGUAUGUGGUGGGUCAGGGAAAGUAUACCGAGUUGCUAAUAACCGUUCUGGUGAACUCUUAGCGGUUAAAAUGAUUUGUAAUAACAGGAGAUUGGAUCAAAAGCUUCAGAAACAAUUCGAAACAGAAGUCGAGAUAUUGAGCACCAUGCGCCAUGCCAAUAUAGUGAAGUUGUUGUGCUGCAUAUCAAAUGAAACCUCUAGUCUUCUUGUUUACGAGUACAUGGAGAAGCAGAGUUUGGAUAGAUGGCUUCAUGGGAAGAAGCAGAGAACAUCGUCCAUGACAAGUUCAGUUCAUAACUUCGUCUUGGAUUGGCCAACAAGGUUGCAGAUUGCCAUUGGAGCUGCAAAAGGCCUAUGCCACAUGCAUGAAUACUGUUCUGUCCCAAUCAUACAUCGAGAUGUGAAGUCCAGCAACAUCUUGCUAGAUGCCGAGUUCAACGCGAAAAUUGCGGAUUUUGGAUUGGCUGAGACGUUGGUCAAGCAAGGAGAACCCAACACCAUGUCAAGAAUUGCAGGCUCUUACGGGUAUAUUGCCCCUGGUAUGACCAUCAAGGCCCUCCUUUCCACAUGUUUUCAUUUCCAUAAUUUAUCGAUAAUUUGUAUCAUACCAUUCUUGUAUACUUGGAUGAUAGAGUAUGCUUAUACAACAAAGGUGAACAAGAAGAUCGAUGUAUAUAGCUUUGGAGUAGUCUUGCUUGAGCUUGUGACAGGUAGAGAACCCAACAAUGGGGACGAGCACAUGUGCCUUGCGGAAUGAGCAUGGAAUCAGUUCAGAGAAGGGAAAACCAUUGAGGAAGUGGUAGACGAGGAGAUCAAGGAACAAUGUGAUAGAGCACAAGUGGCCACUCUCUUCAAACUAGGCAUUAAGUGCACUAACAAAUUACCAUCCAAUAGGCCCACAAUGAAAGAGGUUUUGAAAAUUCUUCAAUAGUGCAGUCCUCAGGAGGGCCAUGGAAGAAAUAAAAAGGACCAUGAAGUUGCACCUCCACUUUGAAAUGACACUUAUCCCACCACUUACAAGUUGUGAGGAUAAAGCCCUUAAAAACAUGAUAUGAUGUAAUAAAUUUGGAAGUCAUUAUUUAUUUAAUGAUGUUCCGAUUUCACUUUUAUCUAUCCUUAUUCCAUGUAUUAUACUUUAUGAGUAUUCUCGCCUGCAUCUUUUGCAUUGCACUAGCUUAGGUGCAUUAAGAGUUGCAUAGAAGAUCUAUGUCAUGGGUUCCUUGCAAAUAUAUUACUUGUUCACAACCAGUUCAUGGGUCUAGGAAGCCCAUUAAAUGGCUUCAUGGGAAGAAGCAGAGAACAUCGUCCAUGACAAGUUCAGUUCAUAACUUCGUCUUGGAUUGGCCAACAAGGUUGCAGAUUGCCAUUGGAGCUGCAAAAGGCCUAUGCCACAUGCAUGAAAACUGCUCUGCCCCGAUCAUACACCGAGAUGUGAAGUCCAGCAACAUCUUGCUAGAUGCCGAGUUCAACGCGAAAAUUGCGGAUUUUGGAUUGGCCAAGAUGUUGGUCAAGCAAGGAGAGCCCGACACCAUGUCAGGAAUUGCAGGCUCUUACGGAUAUAUUGCCCCUGGUAAGACCAUCAAGGCCCUCAUUUCCACAUGUUUUCAUUUCCAUAAUUUAUCUAUAAUUUUUAUCAUACAAUUCUUGUAUACUUGGAUGAUAGAGUAUGCUUAUACAACAAAGGUGAACGAGAAGAUCGAUGUAUAUAGCUUUGGAGUAGUCCUGCUUGAGCUAGUGACGGGGAGAAAACCCAACAGCGGGGACGAGCACAUGUGCCUUGUAGAAUGGGUAUGGGAUCAGUUCAGAGAAGGGAAAACCAUUGAGGAAGUGAUGGAUGAGGAGAUCAAGGAACAAUGUGAAAGAACACAAGUGACCACUCUCUUUAGUCUAGGCCUCAUGUGCACUACCACAUUACCAUCCACUAGGCCAACAAUGAAAGAGGUUUUGGAAAUUCUUCGACAGUGUAGUCCUCAGGAGGGCCUGGUAGAAAGAAAAAGGACCAUGAAGUUGCACCUCCACUUUGAAAUGACACUUACCCCACCACUUACAAGUUAUGACGAUAAAGCCCUUAAAAACAUGAUGUGAUGUAAUAAAUUUGGAAGUCAUUAUUUAUUUAAUGAUGUUCCGAUUUCACUUUUAUCUAUCCUUAUUCCAUGUAUUAUACUUUAUGAGCAUUCUUGUUUGCAUCUUUUGCAUUGCACUAGCUUAGGUGCAUUAAGAGUUGCACAGAAGAUCUAUGUCAUGGGUUCCUUGCAAAUAUAUGACUUGUUGACAACCAGUUCAUGGGUCUAGGAAGCCCAUUAGAGGUUGUAAUAAACCACUUCCUAAUUGGAAGAAUGGCUAGUCUUAGCUAUUGGGAUGAGUUUCCAAUGGUAAGUGCAUUAGUGUGUAUGCUUACAUAUUGGACAUGACCUAUGGUGAAUCAUGACUUAAGGUUAUCAAGCAGUCAUGACCUUAUCAAACUGCUUCAUUAUGUUGUCUCUCAACCUUGAGAGAAUAUCGAGCUUGUACUAAAGUCAGCAAUGACUUUGACAUACGGGUGAAAUCAUAAGUUGAUCAUAUAUUCCCUAUGGAUUGAGUCACUGUUGAUGGAAGAUGGUAGUGAUAGGUAUUUUCAAUAAAAACACCAUGAUGUCUCUUGGGAUUAAGACAACGUGCCCCUUUUAGUGAUCCUAAAGAGGUGUGUUCAUAGAAACUAUGGUCAUAAUAGUUCCUUAAGUAAAACUCGACAUAGGCUCUUUGAGAGCUAAGACAUGUCAAUUGAAUACACAAUAUGAGGAUUUAUAACUCAAAGAUGGUAGAGGUAGUCUUGAAAGACUAAUAACUUUCACUUUGUUAGACUACGAAUAUCAGUUCAUGGGAAGACUAAACACAAUAAAUAGCAAGUCACAAACCUGAACAUUUGGUAUCUCAUUGUUAUUUUCAAUAAAAUAACAAUGAGAUGGUAAGUUGAUCAUAUAUACCCUAUGGAUUAGGUCAUUGUUAAUGGAAGAUGGUAGCAAUAGGUAUUUUCAAUAAAAGUACCAUAAUAUCUCUUGGGAUUAAGAUAGUGUGCCCCCUUGGAUGAUCCUAAAGAAGUGUGUUCAUGGAAACUAUAGUCAUAGUAAUUCCUUAAGUAAAACUCAACAUAAGCUCUUUGAGAGCUAAGACAUGUCAAUUGAAUACACAAUAGGAGGAUUUAUAACUCAAGGAUGAUAGAGGUAGCCUUGAAAGACUAAUAACUUUCACUUUGUUAGACUACAAAUACCAGUUCAUGGGGAGACUAAACACAAUAAAUAGCAAGUCACAAGCUCGAGCAUUUGGUAUCUCGUUGUUAUUUACAUAGGAUACCGAAGUUCAAUUGAUUCUCUGUAGUGGGAUGUUGAAUCAACUUUAGAAUUGGAUUUUGAGAGAGUCAGUAUUCCUAUGGCUCCCAAUGGUCCUUGCUCUAAGCUUAUAUACUUUGUUGGCAUGGAUUAUAAGAGUCAGAUUGGCUCUAGAUUUACUUUUGUACAUAAGGGCAUUUUGAUAAUUACGCAAGGUUACAUAAAGGUAAGUGAACAAGGUUUUUAGAUUGGGUUAAUUGAUUAAUUAGUAGGCCUUGUUUGAUUAAUUAAUCAAUUAAGACUUUUUUGGGCUAUAUUAAGUGACCUAAGCCCUUAGUGGGCUCAAGUCACUUAAACCUAAUAGAAAACCCUAUAAAUACCCCCUUAAGGGUUAGAGUUUGUAUAGUUUUUCUAAAGAGCCAUCUUCUAUCUCCAGAGAGAGAAAGAAAGAGAAAGAGUCAUAGUGUCCACCUCCCUUCUAUCUCUACUAGAAGUGUGUCAAGAUCAAGGUUCAAGUCAUUGGGAGGAAGACUUUGGAUUUACGAGACUUCUGCGAUUUCGUUCUUCAUUUUCACCACGUGGAUUUGAUUCAAGAACAUCCGAAUUUAAGGUAUGGUUUUCAUUAGCACUUUCUGAAUCCCUUUAAAGUUUAAAAAUGUUAUUUUUCCUUUGUGCAUAGGAUUAAUUUAGAAAAUGCUUAGAAUAGUUAUGCAUGUUCCAAACCUGAUCUGAGCUUAGGAAAUGGAGAGAUCCUAGUUUUUUCCCUCAAUGUUUGUGCUCCAAAGUGUUGAGAUAGUUUAGAGGGUGACAUGAUGAUUGACAUAAUACCUUAUGUAGAUAACCUAGUGAAUCCCUUCUCCAAGACAUUAAUAGGGAGAGUCUUUGUUGGUCACAUGGAUAGCAUAGGUUUCAGAUGAGUAUUUGGCAUGCUUUAAAGGCAUGAUACUUUGAGGGCUAAUAGGAGAAUGUUAGGAUAAAGCCCUUAAAAGUAUGACAUGAUGUAAUAAAUUUGGAAUUCAUUAUUUAUUUAAUGAUGUUCUAGUUUCACUUUUAUCAAUCUUUAUUCCAUGUAUUAUACUUUAUGAGCAUUCUUGUCUGCAUUUUUUGCAUUGUACAUGACUUAAGUGCAUUAGGAGUUACAUAGAAGAUCUAAGUAAUGGGUUUCUAGCAAAUAAAUGACUUGUUCACAACUGAUUCAUGGGUCUAGGCAACUGAUUACUACUCAAAAAGUGUUAUUUGAUAGCUUGUAAUUAACUCUUUUAAACACUUUUGAGUAGUAGUUAUCACCUUUUAACCCAAUUAACAUAUUAAGGACCCUUACAAUCAAUUCUAAUAAAAUUGUGUUAAGUUUUGGUGUUUUGAUAGCUUUUUUAUCACCAAAGCAAUCCGAGAUUGAGGAGAGUUCUUUGGAAUCCAUGGCAAAGAUGUCUGGACAGGGCGUCUGGACACACCAUCGGAGGGCGGCGGAAUAUGGGUUGUGGCAAGCUGUCGGAAUGACGUAGCAAGGCUUGCUCACUUUAGUCAAUGUUUUCCAUCCGGACAACAUAUCCGGAUAGGAUAUGCUAUCGUCCGCGGUGUGAUGUGCACGAGUGUCGUGUGCUUCUCCCUGAGGGAGUCCGGAUAGCAUAGCGGCGCGUGUCCUCUUGGGGAAUCCGGAUGGAGUUGCACCGGAUAGCAAUGCGCGCUCCGUGUCAUCAGGGGGAGGGGUCCCUACACCUUGUACACGCAGACGAUCCCCCUUGCGACGCGCGGGUAUCUCACUCCCGAAAUUCUGUCUGGUCAGACAUGUCCGGAUCCUCUGAUCGGAUAUUUCACAUCUGGAUAUCUCACAGCCGGAUGGGAGAGGAGGACGUUUCAACUUCCCUGGUCAGACAUGUCCGGAUCCUCUGAUAGCGCCUACCCGAAGAGUUUUUCUCUCAGUAUAUAGUGUCGCGGUGUUCUCCUGAAGCUUCCUGAUAUUUUCGACCGACAUCUUGAGAUAUUUUGCUUUAGAUAUUUGAUGUCUAAAUCCCCAAACUCUCUUUGUAACCCACCUAUCAUAGGAUCUCUUAGUCUUUAAGUAAGAAAAAGGGUGAAUAACCUCUGAUAUAUAUAGUUUGUAAUUUUCUUUAUAAGAAAUUAUGAUGUAAUCGGCGGAAGAAAGAAAUAUAUUUCACAGAGCACUUGCUCUGAUUUUCAUAUAUAUUUUUGUUUUCUCAUUCUUUUUCUUACUAGCCAAACAAGCUCUGAGGAAGUUUCCUCAGAGAAUGAGUGGCUAGACUUUUAGUUCCUUGGAGCUAAGGUUGCCGGGAAAGGUUUCAAGUGCAAGAAUUUAUAGUUUUGUGGUUUCGGCCAUUAAUGAAGAGAAAGUAUGAUCCUUUAAUGAUUUCUAUGUUUUUUAGUUAACUUAAAACACCUUCAAUUCACUUGAGACAACACUUGGUAAGGCAAGUGAUCUCCGUCCAUGGAGAUGCACUAGUUUGCCUCUUGCGAGCUUUUGAGAAGUGACUUGAAGGUAGGAUUUUCUAGAAUUGUCAACACUUGGUAAGCUUUUGGACUCCAAGGAGACAUCCAUUAGUUAUCUUUUGUGAGCUUGAGAAGGGAAGUCCAAAGUUAAUGAUCACCUUGAAUGGCAAAUGCUAGAUGAGAGGCACGAGCCAUUGCAAGUUGCAUCAAUGAGAAGAAACUAGAGUUGAAAUCCAUUUAAAGGAUACAUCUGUACAACACCGGUUAGAGAAUUGACUAUAUGUAAAUUCUCUAAUGCGAGGAAAUGAACCAAAUGACCGAAGCUCUAUUUUUGCAUAAGAAACCUCCCCUGUGAACCUAAACCUCCAAGGAAUGUUUUUCUUCAUAAGUCAUUUCCAUUACUUUCUUUUUAGUUAGCUUUAAACAAAAUCUCAUUUAAACAAAGUUUAUGUUUUAUUUCUUAAGCUAAUCUUGAAAUGAAAAAGCACCAAUUUAACUUUGAAUUGGUAUCAGUUGUGAGUUGAAAACCCUUUCCAGUGAACGAUCCUAGAGCCACUAUGCUAUAUUAGCUAAAGUUAUCCUAAUGCAUAGUGAUAUAGGUUAUAAAUUUUGUUGAUCACUCCCUCAGUCAAGGAGCACCAACUGGACAUGAAUCAGCUAAGACACCAAUUGGGAAUGAAUCAGCAACCCACUAGAGGUUGUAGUGCACCAUACCACCUUCUAAUUGGAGGGAUGACUAGUCUUAAUUAUCAGGAUGAGUUUCCCAUGGUGAGUGCAUUACUAUGUAUGGUUACAUAUUAGACAAGACCUACGGUGUGUCAUGGCUUAAGGCUAUCAAGUAGUCAUGACCUUACCAACCAACUUCAUUGUGUCAUCUCUCAACCUUAAGAGAAUAUUGAGUUUAUACUAAAGUUAGCAAUGGCUUUGACCUACGGGUGAGAUCAUAAGCUAAUCAUAUAUUCCCUAUGGAUUGGGUCAUUGUUGAUGGAAGUCGGUAGCAAUAGGUAUUCUCAAAAGAGGUACCAUGAUAUCUCAUGGGAUUUAGACAGUGUGUCCCCUUGGGUGAUCCUAAGAAAGUGUGUUCAUACAAACUAUGACCAUAGUAGUUCCUUAAGUGGAACUUGACAUAGACUCUUUAACAGCUAAGACAUGUCAAUUAAAUAUAUAAUUGGACGAUCUGUAACUCAAAGAUAGUAGAGGUAAUCUUUAAGGAUUGAUAACUUUCACCUUAUUAAACUACAAACACUAAUUCAUGGGAAAACUAAACAUAAUGGAUAGCAGGUCACGGAUCCGAGCACGUAAUAUCUCAUUGUUAUUUACAUAGGAUAUUGGAGUUCAAUUGAUUCUCUAUGGUGGAAUGUUGAAUCAACUUUAGAAUUGGAUUUUGAGAAAGUCAGUACUCCUACAGGUCCCAAUAGUCCACACUCUAAGCUCAUAUAACCUAUUGACACAUAUUAUGAGGGUCGGAUUGGCUUUAGGUUCAUUUUUGUGUAUAAGGGCAUUUUGGUAAUUACACAAGGUUACACAAGGAUAAGUUAACAAGGUCUCUGGAUUGGACUAAUUGAUUAAUUAAUAGGCCUUAUUGGGUUAAUUAAUCAAUUAGGACUCAUUUUGAGUUAGAUUAAAUGACCCAAGCCCAUGUGGGCUCAAGUCACUUAAGCCCACUUAGGAACCCUAUAAAUACCCCCUAGGAGUUAGGGUUUCCACAACUUUUGUCCUCCACCUGUUAGGAUAGAGCCCUUAAAAGUAUAACAUGAUGUAAUAAAUUUGGAAUUCAUUAUUUAUUUAAGAUGUUCUAGUUUCACAUUUUUUAUUUAAUGUGAAGACGUUUGGAACCCAUCCCUCCUUCACAGAUUUAUCCAAAAGUUGCAUGCUCUGACUCAAGUUUCCAUGCAUACACAACCCUCUGAAGUGAUCAUCAACUCCAUUACCUUAGUAGUUUUUUCCAUGUCAAGCAUACAGUUAGUUUUGAGAGCGAGACCCACUUUCACUAUGAACUCAAUGACCGUGCUUCGAUCAACUAGUUUGGCAUUUUCAUUUCUUUAUGGCAGCCAAAUUUGGACUAUAUCUAACACUUGGCAGCCAAAGGGCAUGAAUCAAAAACAGAGGAAAGCGACAGAAAAAAAAAAAAAAAAAAAACAAAGCACAAAUGGUUGAAACAAAACGAACUAAUAAAAGCCACAUUUUAUGUUUCAAUCAACCGGCUUAGAUGUAGGUGAGUGAAACUGAAAAGAUUUUAAACAAGAACACGAGUAUUAUUCAGACAUUCUAUAGGAAAGCUACAACAGAGAUAAUUCAUGCUCAAACAUAACCAAAGGAAAUGAGGCAUGAAUCAACUAUAACCAAAUCACAAAAACCAAGAGAUUAACAAUAACAAGUGUGUGUCCUACGGUUAUCCAGACCCAAAACAUGGAAAAUUUUAGAAUCUAAUUGAUAAAUGAAAGAAAAAAAAUGGAAAAAAUGGAAGAAAAUUAAAUACACAAUUUAAAGGACUGAGAACCUGACCUGAACUCUCCUGUGAGAUUUAGCAAUUUAUGAACGUAUCUUCAGGCCCCUGUAGAUGAAUCCAUGCUUGGUGGUAGUAUGCUUAUUGAUGAUAGUCUGGAGAUGUGGAAAUCAAAUGAUUCUGAUGAACUAAAUUUGAUGUGUGAUGAGAUAGAUGACGUGUUAUCUAAGGAUCACAAAGUUCAUCAAUAGAAACUCGUUUGAUGAUGCGUCAAUCUGAUGGAGAGAAUCCGUUGAUAAAAAAUGAUGAAAUGCCAAUUUGAAGAUAGUGACUGCGAUUCAUCUCCCGAUAUGAAUCUAAUGAGAACGUUCAGGAGUUAGAAAUGGAGAGCUCUAAUGGCAGUGGUGAUUUGCAGCAACGUCAAUCUCUGGUGGCAGUGAUAGCAAGCUCUAAUGGUGGUAAACUAUGCCGACAAAGACAAUCUCCAUGAAUUGCACAACAAACUUCAAUGGCGAUCUCCAGUGGUGGUGAUGAAUUCUCCUACAACAAUGAACUCUCAUUCUCCUGAAGAGAUGAACUCUCAAAUGUCGGUGAAUUAUUUUUAUAUAUUUUUUUAAUAAAUUUUAAAUGAAAUAAAAUAAAUAAAUUUUAAAUUUUUAUAUAUUUUUUUAAACUCAUUUAACUUAUUUUAAUUUUUCAAUUAUAAAAUUAAAUAAUUUGAAAAUAUAUAAAUUUCUAACUAAUUUUAAUUAUAUUUUAUUUUCUUUUAUAAUUUUCAUAUAUAGUAUAACCAAUACCAAUGUUUUCAAAAUCAGACCGAUGUUUGAACCGGAAAAGUUACCAGUUCACGGUUCAUUAGUCGAACUGGUAGUCAAACCGCGGUCGAAUCAAUGACAUCAUAAAUAAUAAUUUUUUUCUUUUUUCUCACUAACUAAUCCCACAUUGGAAAUGGAUCAAAAAUAUGUAGGAAUUGUGGUAUAAAAGGCAAGUUAGAAUCAUUAACUUGCAAGACUAAAAGCUUAUUGGGCUUGAUGACAAACGGGUUGGAUAGGCUCCUCAUGAAGUGAUCCGGUUCUCUUAUGGUAUCAAAACUUUUUUUAUGGCUUUAAACUAAAUAAAUAAAUAAACUAUUCGGAUCGCUAAGAAUCGCCCGGUUGGGGCGGUUCACUAGUUCAACCGUUGGUUUGAUGCCCAAACGGUUUUUUGGGUGGACCAGACUGGUUUUGUUACCGAUCGGACCAACUGGUCCGGUCCGAUUUUUAAAUCAUUAUCAAAUACAAUAAAAUAAUUUUCCUUAACAUUUCUUUUAUUUUUUUAGUACUUCUCAAGAAUCAAACAUAAUCAUAAGACUAAUCAUAUUUUUUAUUAUAAGAUCAUUCGAAUACAAUGCCCCAAGUGAGAAUCCCAAAACGUUUUUCAAUGUUUUACUAAUAUUAAGAUUUUGAAAAUCUAUACAAUUUCUUUUUUUUUUUUUUUAAUAUUUGGAUGAUAGAGCAUGAGUAUACAAGAAAGGUCAAUGCAAAGAUCAAUGCCUACAAUCUUGAAAUUGCACUUCUAGAGUUGGGCCCUAAAAGAAAACCCAAUAGGGGGAAGGGGCAGCAUUUAAACCUUGUUCAAUGGGCAUGGCAACACCUUGGAGAAGGAAAGUCAUAUGUGAAAGCACCGGAUGAGGAGAUCAUGGCACAAUGCUACUUCAAAAAAAUGAGUACUACGUUCCCAAUAAUCAAACUUUAUCAUGAAAAUGUUGAUGAUAGUGAGGAUUCUCUUAUUUACAAGUAUAGAGACAAAUAGGCAAAAGGUAAAUAAAUUAUUAAUAGAGCUUAAAAUAAUAAAUUGAGCAAAUAAACAUAUGGUAAGAUCGAAACUCAUUAUCCUCCUACUAAAUAAAAUUCUAAUACCAUAUUGGAUAACUAAAUUUUUUAAGAACUUAAACUUAAGAUUUGGAUCCUUAUGAUUGUAUAUCACACUUUCUAAUAAUAUAUCAAAUACUUUUCUAGAUUUUGUGUUGACUUGUGAUUACUUCUCUAAAUCAAUUUUUCAGCAUCUUGUAUAUAUGUAUUUGUUAGGAUGAAUCAAUUAUCAAUGAAUGCAAAAAUGCAACUCCUCAUAGAGUCUCUUGCUUAUUUCCUCUACAACUUAAUUAGAUAAACUUAAAAGAACUCCAGAGUGAUUUCACAAAGAAAUAGGAUAAUUAUUUUAUUUUCAAACCUGCAAAAAAGAUAUGGAAACCGUAUCAUUGAAAUAAUUAGAACAGAAAAUAAUUGGAAUCAAAGUGCUAUUGCCUUAUUUUAAAAACAAAAAAUAAAUAAAAUAAAUCUUAGGCGCCUUUAUGCAAAACUAAAUAUUAGUUGCCUAAAGCUCCUUAUUUGGAAUACUAGAUGGGCGUCAAGCAUCAUUUCAACUCGGCACCUCCUUCGGUAAAUACCAAAAAUAAUAUUUGUUUUGGGAACAAGACUAGAGUUUUGAGCGGAUAUAAUAUAUUUUAAAAAAAUGCACAAAAUAGAUUUUCAAGUAAAAUAAUUCUCAAGUUUCAGCUACAUGGGCAUCCAUAUGGUCGGAGAUUAUUAUUUUUUUAAUGUUGUUCUAUGUCAUAAAACUUUAAUUAGUAACUACGAUUUUAUUUUUUAAAACAUAAAAUGAUAGUUAGCUAUUAUAGUUUUAAAUUUAUUUUUAAAAUCAUAGUCAUCAAUUACGAUUAUAAGCUUAAAUUUAAAACCUUAGUUGGUAACUAAUGUUUUAACCGUUUUACAACAAAAUCAAAAUUAUAGUUCACAACUAUGAUCAUGUGAUAUAGAUACAAGUGUCAAUAAAACACUCCAAUUUGAAAAUUAUUUUGAGAGGGGAUCUACUUUGUAGAUUUUUAUUUGUUAAAAUAAAUUAUUUUUCCUCAAGCCUUAGAAAACUAACUUGUUUAGAACUAAAUUCAAUUAUACACUCUCCUAAUUUUUCUUUUUAUAAGAUCAAAUCCACGUUAUCAGUUUUCCACUAGAAUCCUCAUGAUUACUCGUAGGAUUCUGGAGAUGAAAUGGAAGUGUGGUAUGAGAUGCAUGCUUGUUUAAACUUCAGUUUCAAUCUUGGUCAAUAAUGUCCAUUCCCUUAGAUAUGCAGGAUGUGGAACCACUGCUGGAUCCUUUGUGAGACUUGACCAUCAGUAUCCUUCUCUCCAUUUGUGGGGUACUGCCCACUUGAUCACUGCUGUGGAAAUUUGACCAACACACCCAAAUUCCCAACAACCCAAAACCACAGAUUUCUUCAUCCUUCCAUCCAUCUUUCUUGAAGUAAAAUAGACAUCCAUGUGGUCUUUGUUUUUCAUUGGUUUCACUUUCUCCCAAGAAUACUAAUCUUGUCUUUAUUGACUGAUUAGUUUAAUUAGAGAUCAUCCAAGAAAAAGAAUAUCACAUUUUAUAUUAAAAAAAAAAAGUAUUGAAUAUAUUAGCAAGAUAUCAUCCUCGAAAAGUUGGAAAUGUAAUCUUGUACAAGGAAAGGAAACAAGGGGGAGUCUUAAAUAAAUUGUUUCCAAAAGAGACCAAAUGACCCAUGUCUUUAGGGGUGUAUCCUUCAUGUAUAUAAAUAAGCAUUGAAAGCGAGGGAAUAUGGAAGUUUAGAGACAAGACUUUGUUUUCUAUGAAUAAAUUAAAUGUGGUUUCAUGGCUUCCAGCCCUUUUCAAAGUAUUCAGUGGAGAUUGGCCCGAUUCCAAUGGAUUGAUCACUUUUUCCAUAAUGCAUAGUUUGAUUAGGUCACCAACCAUUCGCUAAGCCGUCAUACCUUUUUUCUACACCAACUCAAAAACCCCACUUGUCCAAUAUGUUUUUAUUUUUUAAAACAGCCAUUAACACAACAUUUUUAAACACAUCCAUUCUCAUGUCUCUCUACCUAACGUUAAUAUCCCAUUUUUAAGUGAUUGAUGUAACCAUUUUCAAACACUUCCAUUUUCAUAUCUCUCACAUAUCUCCAUCUGAAUUUUGAAGUGAUUCUACUUUGAAAAAAAAUACUUUUAAAGAAAAUAUUUCAAUUAAAAACACAUUAAACAAAAAAUACUAUUAAACACACUUUUAAUUUAUAUUAUUUUUUAUCAGUAACACUUUUACUAUAAAAAAAUACUUUUAGUGGUAAUCACUUAAUAUUUGAAUAUACAAAUAAAAUUUACCUUUUAUAUAAUGUAUUAGAAAAAAAAAGGUUUUUAAAAGAAACAUCCAUCAAUAUAUUAUAUAACAAAUUAUUGUCUUUAAAACCUAAUUUUUAUUAUAAAAAAAAUGCUUCUAAAAAGGUAUUAUAUCUCACUCAAAAUUACUACCAAAUCAAUUCUAAUAAUAGUUUGAAAAUGGGUUGAACUUUUAUAUUUAUCAAGAAAAAAUUGUAGAAGUAACCACUAUGUUUGAAAAUUAUAUGUCAAAAAUAUUUUUAUUAAAGAGAAAGAUAAUUAUAACAAAGCUUAUUGUCAUUAUUUCUCGAUAACACAAUGAAAUCGUAUGGAGCUUAUAAUCAAAAGUUCUUUUCAAAUGACUAACAAAGGGUUUUAUUCUUGAGUUGUUUUAAUUUACUACUAUUUUUAUCAUUUACCUAUGUUAUUAAUGGUGAUUAAAUGAUAAAAAUAUAUAUAUUUAAUGCAUAUUAAUUUCUUUUCACAUCCAAUUUUCAAGUGGAUAUGCUAUAAAAAUGUUGUAAAAUAAUUUUUUUAAAAUAACAUUUUCAUGUGAUUUUUUAUUCAUAAUUAGUUAUAGAAAAAAAUUAAAAUGCUUAGUUAUGAUUAAAACGAUUCCAUUUCAUAUUUGACAUCAACACAUGUUAUUUUAUCAUCUAAUAUUGUUACAUUAAAAAACACUCAAUUUAACAUGAAUAUUAUUAAAUAUAUAUAUAUAUUUAAAAUUAUUUUAAUCUUUCUAUUUAAAAAAAAAAAUUGAUGCAUUAUCGAUAUUUCCAUGAAAUCCACACGUGUCCCAUGAUUAUAGACUAAUUCGUUUGUAGUGUGGACGCAAUGACAAGUCAGAAGUCUCCCAUUUCUUUUCUAGUCAAUGGGCAUGUUCCACAUUUAUUUAUGAUAUUUCGGAUUACACGAAGACUUCCAAAAGCAAUCGAUGGCCCAUUUUUCUUCUGAUAAGCUUCAUGGAAUCUUUUAGACGAAGGAGGAUGCUACUUCCACAUUCUUUAACCGAGCGUGUCAACCAAGCUCUCUCGAAUUUUUCUAUAUUCUUAAUUUCUAAAAAAAAUUCAAUAUGGGAUAUCUAUUUUAAAAUUAUCUUUUUGAUAGAUAUUUUAUAAAUUUUAAAAUGUUUUUUCAAUUAUUAUACAUCUCAAAUUAUUUCUAUACCAUUUUUUUAUUUGGUCUUAUCUAGUUUAAACAAUGAUAAGAUAAUUUCAUAUAUGAUUUUUUAAGUAUUAUUGUUUGUAACCUAAAUCCAUUUGUGUGUAUUAUUUUACCUUAAUUUCGUUUGUUUGCAUGUUCAACCUAUGACCUAAAUUUCAUUACAUAUAUUCAACCAUUUAGAAUUUUUGUUUGAUAUGUAAUGUUUUACCUUAAUAUGUUCUCAAAUUACAUAUAUUAUGGGGAUAUAUAUAGAUAGAUUAUGGUUUGUUCCAUUUCCGUCACUUCAUGAGUUUCCCCUAAUCCACUUACUCCACUCCCAAUAGUGAUAAACUAUAUCUUGAAAGUGAAGUUGGCUUCACUUAUCCCUGAAUAAAAGACCUAUCCUCAAGAGUCAAGAUACUCCAAUUUGAAUUUGAACUCAAACCUAAGGAUAGAUCUUCGACCACCACCAUCUAUUGUCUCCUAAUAGGGGAGAUAUUAUUAGCCUUUUUUUUUCUUUUUCUUUUUUUCUUUUACCCCACUUUAACCAAAAGAUAAGAUAAGCUUAUUACAAGAUUAUAGAAAGAACGUACUUGUCUUUAUUUAUGAUAUUUUUUUUAAAAUAAUUCAACUUUAUUAAAUCUAAGUUAGAUAUAAAUUCCAAUUAUUCUACUUUUGACCAAAUCAUAGCGGUGACCAACACUAACUAUUUAAAAAAUUAAAAUAAGUAAAAAAAAACACUUUUUUUAACUUUAAGGUGGUAGAGCUUCAAAACAAUGAACUAAAAAGAUAAAACUAAGUGCAAGUUAAAAUAGAGAAUAAGGAACUCAAACAUUUUAUAAGAUAUACUUGACAUAAGUGAAAAUAAUUUAAAAGAAAAAAUAGUUCUUGCUUUGUGUGAAACAAAGUACUAUUAUUUUUAUGUUUAUUUCAUGUUAUCCAUAAAACAAUACAAAUGAUUUCAAUAGUUUGAGUGUUCUCCAAUUUUUAAAAUUCAUUCUCACUAUUUCAAGCUAUAUUUACUAAAGUUAUAUGUUGGAUUUCUAAAAAUGAGGGAAUAUAUAAGUUAAUGGAUGAAGGUUUGAUUUUAACAAUAAGGAUUGUGUUAUGGUGCUCAUACAAUUCGAACCAAAAUACACGCAACAACUCUAGAAGUAAUGAUGUAAUGUUACUUAUGUUGGAUUUUAUGAAAAUAUCAAUAAAAAUACUUAUAUUCGUGUAAAGUUUAUGUGGUACCAAUCAUAUGAUAUCAUAUAAACAUUUUAUGUUUUAUUACUGGUUUCAUUCAUCUAUAUUUAUCUUAUCUAUUUAUGUUUUAACCCUAUAUAUUUAUAUUUUCAUUCAAUAUAAAUUUUAUCAUAUAGUUUCAAUAACAAAAACAAAUGUACAUUUAAUACCGAAACUGCUUCUAACAUUAAAGUAAAUAUGAUUUCACGAAUUUCAUAUUUUCUAUCAUCUUUACCAAAAUUGAAUAGGGUUGAUUACUUUUUUCCCAUUCCAUGAUUUGAUCGCGUGAAGAUGAUUCCACCACCAAUCAUUUACUAAAAUGUGACACCCAUUUUCUACACCAACUCAAGCACUCCACUUUUGUUAAUAGCUUUUAGCCGAUAUAAAAAAGUGAACAAAACCGCUUUCAUAUUUUACCUACCAGGGCUAAGAAAUAUAAAUAGAGAUAGAAAUAAUUACUAUUUGUUAAAUAUAUAUUUUAUGUUUUAAAUAUAUAUAUAUAUAUAUAUAUAUAUAUAUAUAUAUAUAUAUAUAUAUAUAUAUAUAUAUAUAUAUAUAUAUAUUCUUUUUAAAAAUAAAAAUAAUCAUGAUAUUAAUUUGUUAAAAUUUACUCUAACAUCAUCUAAUACAAAUAAAUCAUGUACGAAAAUGCAAGAAUUAUGAUCAAGAGUUUCAUCCAACCAAUUAUAAAAAUUAUGUUUUACCUUUAAAAUUGGUUUUUAACACAAAGCUCUUCUAAUUCAGAACUUUAUUCUUUUACUCUUAUUUUUAUCAUUUAAAUAUAUGAUUAAUCAUGAUUAGAUAUUAAAAAAACAACUUUCAUAUUUAAUAUAUUCCCUUAUCAUCGAUUAAGUUUGAUUUUUUUUUUUUUUUGUUGUGUGUAUAUCUUUAUACUUUUUCUUCUUACAAAUUUUUUUUCACAUUUUAAUAUUUUUAUCAUUUACCAAAGCUUCAUUUAAAAUUUUCGUGUUUUUGAUAAUUUUUUAUUUGUAUAAAAAUUUACAUGAAUAUAAAUAUUUUUAUUGAUAUUUUGAUAAAAUCCAACAGCAGGGACAUUUCAUCAUUGCUUCUUGAGGUGGUGCGUGUAUAGUGCAUAUAGCAUGGGAAUAAGGAUAAGUCUCCUUUUUUACUAUUCAAUUCAAUGCCCUUUCACAUUCAUUUAUUAAUUGUUUGGACUUGUGAAAGCAACCUUCCCCCGUUUUCUUGACGCAACCUGCUACUUCCACGUGAGCAUGCCAAACACGCUUAGGGCCUGUUUGUUGAUGUUUUCAAAUACAUUUUUGGAAACAGUUUUUAGUGUUUUCAGAAAUAAAAUUAUGUUUGUUUAUUCUCAAAAAUAAAAAGAAUUAAAAAAAAACAUAUUUAUUUCAAUUAAUAAAAAUAAUUUUUAAUAACAAAUAAAACAAAAAAACUUGUUUGGAAAAUAUUAUUGUUGGUUUUGUUUUUUAAAGUUGAGUAUUUUAUUUAACUAAUUGAUAUUGUAAAUAUAUAAAUAAUUUUUCUUCAUAAAAAUAAAAAUGUUUCAUUUUGAACAUUUUUUGCAUUGGUUUUAAUUUUUUAAAACAAAUUAUUACUUUGUAAACAUGUCUAAAUAUGUUUGAUUUUAAUAAUUGAUAAACACCAUCUUAUCAAAAUAUCAUAAAUCGGUAAAUAUCAAUAAUUGGAUUUUAUGAAAUAAAAUUUAUGAUAUCAAAUAAUAAUGCAUUAUACUUGGAAACUGAUGAUCUAUCUUUUUUACUAAUAAUAUAUUUAUGAUAAUUUUUAUUUAAAAAUAUUUAUAAUUAUAUUUUAUAUUUAAGAAUUAUAUAAAAGAUAAAAAAAAUUAAAGUAAAUCAAACUAAUUUAUUUAUGAAAAUUUAUUAAUUUUUACUAUUUUACAUAUUAUAUAUAUAUAUAAGACAAGAAUCCUUGUUCUCUUUUCUCUCUUCUCCUCAUGGUUUCUCUUCCAAGACCCAAACUUUUAUUCACGGUUGAACUAUUUUUCUCCUCAAAGAACAACUCAUGAAAGUCAAAAUCUAGAUCUAUGAUUGUUGUAAAGAUUAUUGGUUAGGAUUUUGCCUCUUGUGUUAUUGUUUAUGUUUUUGUUUGGUUUUUGGGAAAUCCUAGAAUUUAUGGAAGUUUAGGCUUUGAAAUGCAUUAAAAAAAUCAUAUUAGGAUAAAAUCCCAAAAUAUCCAAAAAAUAUUGAAAUGGAAAUAAAAAAAAUAAAAAUAAAAAAAUUGAAUUUUUGUUAAACCGAAUUUUCAAUUUUCUAAUUUUUCCCAUUUUCCUUGGCAGUGUAAAAAAAAAAAUGAUAAGAACACCCAAGAAUACUAAUUGAAAACACAGACAUUUUUUUUUUUUUUUACUUCUUAGAAUAGUGGCAACAACACAAAAAAAAAAUCAUUUUAAAACCAGAUUUUAGAAAACACAUAAAACACUUGAGAACAAAAAAACACUCUCUUAUCAAACAUGAUUUUUGUGUUUUUGUUCUAAAAAUGGAAAACAGUUUUUGGAAACACCAACCAAACAAGUCCUUAAUGACUCAUUUUUCUUUUCUUUUUUUUGCUUAUUUGUGUAUUCUGUUUUCUAUUUUUAUUUUUAAAGAAAAUAAAAAUCAAGUUUAAAAACAUGUUUAGAUAUUAUUCUUAAUUUUUAUUUUUGAAAAAUUGAGUUCAAAAAAGGUCAAAAAUGAAAAUAAUAAUUUGGUGCUUUUAAAAAAAUUUUAUGGCGAUGUUUUUCAAUCUAACAUAAAAAUAGAAAAAUUAUCUUUAGAAUUAAUUAUAAAAUUAUAAUAAAAAAUUUUGUAUAUUAUUUUAAAAUAAAAAUAUAAUCAAAUACAAAAUAAUAAAAUAAAACAAGGAACAAAUAUGAUAUAAUAUCAUAUAGUAGCAUAUAAUAUAUAAUAUAUAAUAUCAAUAAAUAACAACUAAUAAAAUUAUUAUAUAUGUUAUAUUUUAUGCUUGCUAAAUCAAUUUAAUGUUUUAAAGUGACUUCAUAACUUGAUUUAAAUUAUUAAAUAAAUUAAAAUUUUGAUAAAAUAACUUAAUAUCAUAAUUUAAAAUUAAAAUAAUUUUAAGUGUUAAGUCAAAAUAAUUAAUUUAUUUUUAAUGUCAAAUCAUUUUUAUUAGAUAUUUACUUUGUUCAGUAAAAUUGAGUUAAUCUUUUGAAAUUAUCAAAUUUACAUUUUUAUUUUUCUUAAUUUAAAGCAAUAAAUUUAUUUGUUACACGAUUUGUAUUAAUCGUAUUCCAAAUAUAUAAAAUAAUUACAAUAAUUACUAAAUAUUUAGCUCAAAGAAAAUGUGUCGUGAAUAUAAAAUCAUGCAUAUUAUAUAAAUUACUAUUACAUGUGUGAGUAAAUAAGAUAGAAAUGAUUUAACAUUCAAAAUAAAUUUAUUAUUUUAAUUUAAUAUUUAAGAAUUAGUUUUAAUAUUAAAUAUAUUUAAUUUAUUUAAUAACUCAAAUUAAGUUAUUAUUAAUUAUUUAAUAUAUAAGAAUAAAAAGAUAUAAAAUAAAAGCAAGGAAAUAUAAAAUAUUUCAAAAUUAUUAAUUAUUUUUUCAUGAGUGGAUAUAAAAAUAACUAGGGGAGUAUGAUUUUAAUUUUAUAUUCUUAUACUGCUGCUGGAAUAAUAUGUUUGCAUUAUUUUUCGAAGGUGAAAAUAUAAAAUUACAAACAUUCAAAUAACAUAUAGAGAUUGUUUUGUUACCAUUUUAAUAGGAAUAACUAUAAAUGCAUAAGAGCAAUUCUCAUUGGAUAUAGUUUCUAUAUACUUCAUUAAAACACGGAAAAUAAUUUAAAUUUAUUCUAAAAAAGUAGUUCAAUUUUGAAAAACAAGCCCUCAAAACCUUGUUUCCAGCACAAAACUUGCCAAUGAGUCACGUGGUAUAAACUUCCUUUGAUUGAACUUUUGAAGAAAAAAAUCACGCAGUGUUUUGUUUUUGAAAAGUGUAAAGAAAAAUAUAUUUGUUUUUAUAUCUACAUAUUAACAAAAAGGAAACUUUCAAUCCAUGUUAUAAAUAAUAAAAUAUGAAUUAAACAUUUUUGCUCUUCUUUCUUUCCUCAUGAGCACACCAUAGUAGUCUAUCUGGUUCUUAGAAAAUAUUAAGAAUAGAAAAAAAAAAUAUUAAGAAAUAAUUUUUUUUUAUAUUUUAUUAACAUGAAAAAUAUUAAAAUCAAAUCAAUGUAAUUAAAAAUAGUUUAAAUUUUAUGCAUUUUAAAUUAUUUUAUCUUUAUAUAAGAGAAAAAUAAAUAAAUGGGUUUAAAGAAACAUAUAAAUAUAAUUUAUUAAUAAUAUUAAUUUUUUUUUUCAUUUUCCUUCAUCUAAAAAACUGAAGAUUUUUUUAAAAAAUAAAAAAAUUACUACCUAAAUUGACUUGCCUUUUAAGUAAUAAUUAUUAGGAAUAUAAAAUAGUAUUAAUAGGAUAAAAUAAAGCGUCAUGUAAGCUAAUAUUUUGUAUUUUAUAAUUACAUAGAGUAAUCAUAAAGUCACAUAUGACAAAACCAAAUAAAUAAAUAAAUGAGAGCUUGCAUCACCAACUGGGUUAUUAAAGUAAUUAAGCCAAGAAAAUUCUUAUGCAGAGUCUGAUGAUUCAACAAGCUACCUUCCAGACAAUGGUGAUGACUUUGAAGGAAUCCUUCCUCCAAUAAGAAGAUCUAAGUAAUCAUCAGCCUUUUGUCUUCCAUCAAGAAUAUUUUACAAGCUUUGCAGUUUCUGUUCCAAAAGCAGCAAGCAUGUGUCUACACAGCAGCCUGCCAGAAGUCUUCUCAGCCAAAAGAGGGUUUUUCGGGGGAUUUCGGUAUAAAAGUGAAUCUUACUAUUCACUAUUCACUAUUCAAGCACGGGUCUACUAUUCAUGGUUACUAUUCAAGUUUCCUUUUUUGCCUAUUUAAGGAGGCUCGAGCCUCAUUUGUAAGCACGUUCAAUUUAGGCUCCCAUGCUCUCCAUUCUCUCUUCUUUCUCUCUCAUCAUGUAAACUCUUCAAGCUUUCAAGCUUUCUUCAAGCUUUCCUACCCCUGUCUAUUGUAAGAUAUUUCUCCUUGUGUAUAAUAUAAGUAUGUUUUGAUUACCUCCUAUAUGGAUGGUUUUUAAUUAUGUUUUGUUUUUCAUUUUAUUUUAUGUUCUUGUACUGCCUAUAUGGUCGGUUUUAAUUAAGCUUUGUUUUUAAGUUUAUGUCUUUUAUUUUGUACCGCCUACAUGGUCGGUUUUAAGCUUAUUAUGAACUAACAAGUUUUUGGUUCCUUCUCUUUAAAUUUCUUUAUUGGAUAUCUUUUGUAUUUUCUAACCCUCUUCUUUGUUUUGAAUCAUGGCAUAAUUCCGAUUUUCUGGAAAUCUUGAGGGGUCUUAGCUGCUGCAAGCAUGGCUUGUAACUGUUGCUUUUUAAGGAGAAACUGAGACAUAUCAUCACUGGCUGAGACUUGUGUGGGAUUUUGGAGGAAAUACUGCUUAACUGUAUCAAUAGAUGCGUCAUUUUUUAAGGCAUCCCACCAUUUAGUUUUAAAGGUCCUUCCAAGAGAUGGAAAGGCUGCUGAUUCAUCUGUAAUGAUAAUAUAGUCCCACUGGACUAUCCAAGCAAGGCCAAAUUUGCUGAAGAAGAAUAGUAAAGGGGGAAAAGCUGAAAGUUCUCUAGGGAUAUCAUUAUCUGAAUCAGUCCUUGAUUCAGAGUCUGAGUUUAACAUUACCUUACAAAGCAUAUUUUUUAGGUCAUCUGAGACACUUAAGUUGUUAAUCUUUUGCUUAACUCUACAAUUUUUUUUAUAAUGGCCAACUUUGCCACAUUUAAAACAGAUAAUUGGCUUGAUGUCUAAAGGAGUUUCUUACUUUUUCUGGGUAUCUCUGUUGACCCUUCUUUGGACGUGCCUUGACUGCUUAGUAUCAUUCAUCCUAUAGUUGUCAUAGGUACCUCUCUUACUGUGGUAAAACUUAUCUUUGCUAGGCUUCCUGCUUGGCUUUUGCUUAGAGGGAGGCAUAGUUUCUUUUUGGCUGAAACCAAACUGGCUAUAGAAUGAUCCAAAUUCAUUCUUGUAGAUUUUUUGUUCAUUCUUCAUUUGUUGCUUAAGCUUGAAGUCAUUGCACAACUUAAUCCCUUUAGCUGUGACAAUGCUUAUAAUCUCACCAUAGGUUAGCUUAUCAUAAGGGAUUUGACCAUUAUACUGUUCCCUUAUCUUGAUCCUAAUUCUCUCAGAGAAAAGCUUGGGUAAUCCUGAGAUGAACUUUUCUUUCCAAAAAGACUGGUUACAAUCUGAUCUUAGCAUGACUUUGGUUAGGAAGACUUCCUUAUACCACCUAAAAUCAUGAAGCUUGGGACACUUAAGGUUGGUUAAGAGAUCUGCAGUUUUAUCCUUAAUUUUUGCAGGAUCUCCAAUGAAGUGCUUGGAUAUUGAGUAGAUUAGAGUAGCCACUGCAUCCUCAAUAUCUUGGCCAUCUUCGUCUUUAACCACUUCAUUACUCUCAUUAAUCCUAUAGGCUUUAAGGAUACUAUUUCUAUCAUCAAAAGUGAGAUAAUUAUCCCACCAACCCUUAAGCUGUCCUAUAAACCCAGCAACAAUGGUCUGAGCUACAGCAUGAUCUGGCAGUCUAUUGUUUAAUUUAUAGGUUGUACUAACCAUGGUCAUUUCUUGAAGCUUAGUGAGUAUGUUAUACUCGGUCAUACCGUCUAUGUUCCAUUCAUAGAUAGUACCACUGGUGUAUGAGGCUUGAGUAUACUGAUUUCUUUCCUCAAACUGCAUGUCAGGAAAAGUAGGCCUAGGAUAGUAAUUCCUAGUCUUAAAGGUUUCCAAGUUGUUAAUAAUUUGAUUAUGGGGUUCCUCAAACAUCUUAAUUAGUUCAUCAGCUUCUUCUUCUGAACUAAUAUCACCUUUAACCAUAUUGAUUCUCUUAUCAGGCUGAACAGUCAAAGGGGCAACAAGAUUAUCCUUAAUCUUUUGAUUAAUCCUAUCAACAAAAGCCUGGUUGAUUUGGGGAUUUUCUUGGAAUUCCUUAGAAAAUUCAAAGGACUCAGUGCUCUUCGUAUUAUUAACACGCUUAUAAGGAUAAUCUGGAUAUUCCUCUUGUUUGAAGAGUUCAAACCAAAUCCAAAACUUAAUAUUUUUCUUUUCUUGUCUUAAGUAGGCAUAGAAUUCUUCUUGGUAAAUGGUUCUAAUGACCUUAGGGACCGUGCUAAAGAACCAAUCAUUUCUUUGCUUAUUGACUUCAGAAUAGAAGUCUUUUCUUAAGAGAUCCUUGUUGAUCUCAAAGUCCUCAUCACUUAGGCUUAUUGUGUUAAUCAUCUGGGAAUAGGUAGGAGACAUAACAGGGGACUCAUCCUGUUGGGAUUCUUGAGUAGACUCAUUUUCCUCAGAGUAAAAUGGUCUAGCCACGUUGGUGUAACUUCUGACACCUGUUAGCUUAAUGUUCUUAGGAUUUCCUGAGCUGGAUCCUUCUUCUUCCCUAGUGGUUCUAACUGGGAUGGAAGAGCUUGAAGCUCUAGAGGGUUCAUAAACAGAAACUCUAGGGCUGUUAGAAUGUUUGAAAGAUUUGGAGAAAACGAGUUCUCCUCCUCCAUCUGGAUAUUGAACAAUUUGUUCAAUACUUUCAGAACGUUGUGCAAUGGCUGGAACAUCAUUAGCAAAAUGUCAAUUUUCAGGAAAAUCAACAUCUUUCCACAAGAUCUUCUUGGGGAUGAUGAAAUCUGACUUAUCUAACAUAUCUGAGUGAAAGUAAGUGGUCUCACCUUUAGGACUGGUGCAAAGAGCCCCAGAUCCAACGCUUGUGUUCAUGCUCUUAUAGGCAAACCUGGUUAUGAUUGAAACAGGACUGUUUCCUGGUUUGAUCUUAAAGCCAUGGGUCUUAAUAUGCAGGACAACGGAAUCUAAGAUGUUUGCAUCUCUUAUUCUAACUGUGAAGUUAGGAUAGCACUGGAAAUAAACUGGGUCAUCAUUCAGUCCAGCUUGGACUGCGCCUAUAAUAGAAUCUCGAUAUUCGAGAUGCCUAUUAUCCCUUAAACACAUGACAAUAGAGGUGUUUAAACCUAAUCUUGUCAAAGGCUUAGCUGCUACUUGAAUCAUACCAAAGUGUAUGAAAUUAUAGUCAUCUUUCUUAUGCUUUUCAACGGAUCUGUUAUCUAGAAGUCUUAUGACUUGGUCGUCUUGUUCUAAACUGACUGACAUUUCAGAGGUCUUGAUGGUAUAACUAUAAAUGCAUAAGAGCAAUUGGAUAUAGUUUCUAUAUACUUCAUUAAAACACUGAAAAUAAUUUAAAAUUUAUUCUAAAAAAGUAGUUCAAUUUUGAAAAACAAGCCCUCAAAACCUUGUUUCCAGCACAAAAUUUGUCAAUGAGUCACGUGGUAUAAACUUGCUUUGAUUGAACUUUUGAAGAAAAAAAUCACGCAGUGUUUUGUUUUUGAAAAGUGUAAAGAAAAAUAUAUUUGUUUUUAUAUCUACAUAUUAACAAAAAGGAAACUUUCAAUCCAUGUUAUAAAUAAUAAAAUAUGAAUUAAACAUUUUUGCUCUUCUUUCUUUCCUCAUGAGCACACCAUAGUAGUCUAUCUAGUUCCUAGAAAAUAUUAAGAAUAGAAAAAAAAUAUUAAAAAAAUAAUUUUUUUGAUAUUUUAUUUAACAUGAAAAAUAUUAAAAUCAAACCAAUAUAAUUAAAAAUAGUUUAAAUUUUAUGUAUUUUAAAUUAUUUUAUCUUUAUAUAAUAGAAAAAUAAAUAAAUGGGUUUAAAGAAACAUAUAAAUAUAAUUUAUUAAUAAUAUUAAUUUUUUUUCCUUCAUCUAAAAAAAAUGAAGAUUUUUUUUUAAAAAGAAAAGAAAUUAUUAUCUAAAUUGACUUGCAUUUUAAGUAAUAAUUAUUAGGAAUAUAAAAUAGUAUUGAUAGGAUAAAAUAGAGUGUCAUGUAAGCUAAUAAUUUUGUAUUUUAUAAUUACAUAAAGUCACAUAUGACAAAACCAAAUAAAUAAAUAAAUGAGAGCUUGCAUCACCAACCGGGUUAUUAAAGUAAUUAAGCCAUUUGACAUCAUAUAUGAACCCAUAUGAGAUUUUUUUUUUUUUUUGAAAAAAAAGAAAGGAAAAAGAAAUUCCUCUUGAAAGGGGGUGUUUUUUAAAAAAAAAAUUUAAAAAUAAGCUUUUUAAAACAAGACUAUUUGGCAAGAAGUUUUAAAAAAGAAAACAAAAAGUUUGUUUGGAUGAAAGAAUUUAUAUUGUUUUUAUGUUUUACUUUUAUUUUAUAAAAAAUUUACAAAUUCAAUUUAUAAUAAUAUGAAAUCAAAUUUAAGUCUUAUUAAAAAAAAAUUAAAUCUACAAUUAUGUAUAACUUAGAUAAACAUUUUUUAAGUUGUUUUGUUGAAUAAGUUAAUAUAUGAAUGAUAUAAUUUAUCAUAUUUAAUAAUAAUAUUAAAUGCAUCCAUAACAAAUAUGAAUUUUAUAAGUAUGCAUUCAUUAUUAAAAUAUAUCAAAUAUAUAUCAUAGUCCAAUAUAUUUAUAAAUAGGCCAGCUUGCUUAAGUGGUGUGCAAGGUUUAUUACAAAUCCGUGUGAGUAGCGGUAGCACAAAACACCGAGUUCAUUGGUCAUGGACUCGGGGCUCCUUCGUAAUUAAUUCCAACAAGCAAGUCAGUUUGUAAAAUUCAGUAGAAUAAAUUCUGUCAGCGCCCCAGAUUUUGAAAUUGAACCGUUGGUUUCCACCACAUUCCCAGCAUUCUUCCUCCCAACUCUUUCCCGACCAUCUUCCUACCUCCUCACAGAGAAGCCGGUGACGAACUCAACGUCACAAAAUGCCGAAACUACCCUUUUUAUUUGCCACAAUUCCAUUUCCAGGCCAUCUUCCUCCCUCCUCACAGAGAAGCCGGUAACGAACUCAACGUCACAAAAUGCUGAAACUACCCUUAUUAUUUGCCACAACUCCAUUCCCCACCCUGUUCUUCCUCCUCGUCCUCUCCAUAUUUCAGGUAAUUUCCCAAAAUUUGGACGAUGAACGAUCAAUCCUACUAGACGUUAAACAACAACUGGGCAAUCCACCGUCACUCCAAUCGUGGAAUUCCUCAUCCUCGCCCUGUGAUUGGCGGGAAAUUACAUGCACCGACAAUACCGUCACUGCAAUUUCACUCCACAAUAAGACCAUCAGAGAGAAAAUUCCAGCCACAAUUUGUGACCUCAAGAACCUCAUCGUACUUGACCUUUCCAACAAUUACAUUCCCGGCGAGUUCUCGGAUAUUCUCAAUUGUUCCAAGCUUGAGUAUCUGCUCUUGUUGCAAAACUCCUUCGUGGGUCCAAUUCCAGCUGAUAUUGAUCGACUUUCACGUCUCCGGUACCUAGACCUCACAACAAACAACUUCUCUGGAGAUAUUCCCGCAGCAAUUGGGAGGCUACGGGAGCUGUUCUACUUGCUUCUGGUUCAAAAUGAGUUCAACGGCACCUGGCCAACGGAGAUUGGUAAUUUGGCGAAUCUUGAACAAUUGGCCAUGGCCUAUAAUGACAAAUUCCGGCCUUCAGCCCUUCCAAAAGAGUUUGGCGCAUUGAAGAAGUUGAAAUAUCUGUGGAUGACGCAGGCGAAUUUGAUUGGCGAAAUACCGGAGAGCUUCAACCAUCUGUCGAGUCUGGAACACUUGGAUCUCUCACUCAACAAAUUAGAAGGUACGAUCCCUGGAGUCAUGCUUACGUUGAAGAAUUUGACCAAUUUGUAUUUAUUCAAUAAUAGAUUGUCCGGCCGCAUUCCUUCAUCCAUAGAAGCUCUCAACUUGAAAGAAAUUGAUCUUUCCAAGAACCAUUUGACGGGGUCGAUACCAGCGGGUUUCGGGAAGCUACAAAAUUUGACCGGUCUGAAUCUUUUCUAGAAUCAGUUGUCAGGAGAGAUACCAGUAAAUAUAAGCCUCAUUCCUACACUGGAAACUUUCAAAGUUUUUAGCAAUCAAUUGAGUGGAGUUUUGCCUCCAGCAUUUGGCCUUCAUUCGGAGCUCAAACGCUUUGAGGUUUCCAAGAAUAAACUAAGCGGGGAAUUACCUCAACAUUUAUGCGCUAGGGGGGCUUUGCUUGGAGUGGUUGCUUCCAACAACAAUCUCAGCGGGGAAGUGCCCAAGUCCCUCGGGAAUUGCACAAGUUUGCUCACCAUUCAGCUUUCCAACAAUCGCUUUUCAGGUGAGAUUCCUUCCGACAUCUGGACAUCCCCGGACAUGAUAUGGGUGAUGUUAGCUGGAAAUUCAUUCUCGGGGACACUUCCAAGUAAAUUGGCAAGGAAUUUGUCCAGAGUGGAGAUCAGUAACAACAAGUUUUCUGGUCCAAUUCCUGCUGAAAUCUCUUCUUGGAUGAACAUAGCUGUGCUCAAUGCCCGCAACAAUAUGUUGUCAGGAAAAAUUCCAGUGGAAUUGACCAGUCUUCGGAACAUCUCUGUUAUGUUGCUUGAUGGGAAUCAAUUCUCGGGUGAGCUUCCAUCCGAGAUCAUCUCAUGGAAGUCGCUCAAUAAUUUGAAUCUCUCAAGAAACAAACUUUCUGGCCCAAUUCCCAAGGCAUUAGGUUCUUUACCUAACCUUAAUUACCUUGACCUGUCAGAAAACCAGUUCUCAGGUCAAAUUCCUCCUGAACUUGGUCAUUUGACGCUUAAUAUCCUCGAUCUAUCGUUCAACCAACUCUCUGGGAUGGUCCCCAUUGAGUUUCAAUAUGGAGGAUAUGAACACAGUUUCUUGAACGAUCCCAAGCUGUGUGUCAAUGUUGGCACUCUGAAACUCCCUAGAUGUGAUGCCAAAGUCGUUGACUCCGACAAAUUGUCAACCAAAUAUCUCAUUAUGAUCCUAAUUUUUGUUGUAUCUGGUUUCCUAGCUGUUGUUUUGUUCACCCUGCUCAUGGUUCAAGAUGAUAAUAGGAAGAAUCACAGUCGAGACCAUACACCUUGGAAGGUUACCCAAUUCCAAACACUAUAUUUCAAUGAACAGUACAUAUUGACCAGUUUGACAGAAAAUAAUUUGAUCGGACGCAGUGGUCAGGGGAAAUAUACCGAAUUGCUAAUAACUGUUCUGGUGAACUCCUAGCGGUUAAAAAGAUUUGUAAUAACAGGAGAUUGGAUCACAAGCUUCAGAAACAAUUCAUAGCAGAAGUCGAGAUAUUGGGCACCAUACGCCAUUCCAAUAUAGUGAAGUUGUUGUGCUGCAUAUCGAAUGAAAGCUCAAGCCUUCUUGUUUAUGAGUACAUGGAGAAGCAGAGUUUGGAUAGAUGGCUUCAUGGGAAGAAGCAGAGAACAACGUCCAUGACAAGUUCAGUCCAUAACUUUGUCUUGGAUUGGCCAACAAGGUUGCAGAUUGCUAUCGGAGCUGCAAAAGGCCUAUGCCACAUGCAUGAAAACUGCUCUGCCCCGAUCAUACAUCGAGAUGUGAAGUCCAGCAACAUCUUGCUAGAUGCCGAGUUCAAAGCAAAAAUUGCGGAUUUUGGAUUGGCCAAGAUGUUGGUCAAGCAAGGAGAGCCCGACACCAUGUCAGGAAUUGCAGGCUCUUACGGAUAUAUUGCCCCUGGUAAGACCAUCAAGGCCCUCCUUUCCACAUGUUUUCAUUUCCAUAAUUUAUCAAUAAUUUUUAUCAUACAAUUCUUGUAUACUUGGAUGAUAGAGUAUGCUUAUACAACAAAGGUGAACGAAAAGAUCGAUGUAUAUAGCUUUGGAGUAGUCCUGCUUGAGCUAGUGACGGGGAGAGAACCCAACAACGGGGACGAGCUCAUGUGCCUUGUAGAAUGGGCAUGGGAUCAGUUCAGAGAAGGGAAAACCAUUGAGGAAGUGAUGGAUGAGGAUAUCAAGGAACAAUGUGAAAGAGCACAAGUGACCACUCUCUUCAGUCUAGGCCUCAUGUGCACCACCAGAUCACCAGCCACUAGGCCCACAAUGAAGGAAGUUUUGGAAAUUCUUCGACAAUGCAGUCCUCAGGAGGGCCAUGGAAGAAAGAAAAAGGACCAUGAAGUUGCACCCUUACUUCAAAAUGGCACUUGCCCCGCUACUUACAAGCAUAACGAGAAGGGAUCAGACAAUGAGGAUGACGAUAAAUUAGUUUGAAAUUUACAGCUUGUAAAUAAGUGUAAGAAAGCUUGUAAAUUAAAGGUGGUAGUGAUCUUAGGAAGUGUGUUUAGCCUUUUUAUAAUACUUGAAAAAUAAAAAUUUGCAAGUGUUAAAAGGUUAAAAACACUGUUGGAGGUACCUAACAUCUGCAUAUCUUUAAUACACCACCUCCCAAAUGAGGUAAUUGGAAACGCACAAAAUCACCUCAUCCCAAAACUAGGACCAUAAAAGAAGACGACCUCUCGGUCCUGCGGGAUGACCUGACUAAUUGACCUAUGCCUAGAAAAACGAAUCCAACUACCCGUCUCCUCAUGUGCCCAAAAGUCAACCAUGCCUCUGAUAUGCUGCAAAAAACCAAUACUUCAUGAUCCUUCACAAGGAAAAGUGGCUAUAAAAGGGGAGCCUUUUCCUCCUCUAAUGACUCUCUCUCUCAGCCUCUAAAAGAAAGCUGUAGAAAAUGUAGAAAAUGCAUUUCUAUACCCGGAAAAUAGUGGAAUGAAAUCUCCAAUAUUUUCCUUGAAGAAUUUUGGAUUCUUCAUUGGCAUAAUGGAGGACCGAGAGUGAAGUUUAAUCAGUCCAAAGGGAUUUGGAUGUCAAUUCUAUCUUUGUUCAACAUCCAAUAUCUUCCACUAUAAGCAAAAACAACAGCAAAAACAUCAACAACAAAAUUUUCUAGGGGAGUUUUCCUUUAGUUUUUUCUUCUCCUUUUAUAAAUCUUCCUUUAAUCACUUUUGUUUUGCGUAAUAUUCAAGAAAAUGUCAACUUUGUAGCUUUAGGAAAAUGAGCAACUAACCUCUCGAUUAUCUCUUUGUUUUGGGUUUUUCUAGUACCACUUGUGAUUGGUUGUUCCUUAGAAUUGAAAACAAGAAAAUAUGGAUCGAAAUAGCAGCUCACAAGCCUUUGUUUCAUGCUAAGCAAUUCUUGAAUAUUAUGGAGUUCUAGGGAAACAUGUCCACUUGCAAUCUGCAGCUUCAGGUUUUAUGAUUUAGGCCUCAAGCACCAUGGUUUAGCCAUCUCAAUCAGUUGUUGAAGGGGACAAUGUCUAACCAAUUUCAAAGGGUACAACCUCACAAAUCCUCGAUCUCAAUAUCGCCUCAGGUAAAUAGAUAAACCUAGAAACCUAACCUAACAAAGGUACCUAUUCUUUAACCAAAUAGUUGAUCAAAAGCUACAAAUCUUUGAAGAAUGCAAUAUCCAAAAGCUAAAAAACUUUGCAGAAGUGUUUGUACUAUAUAAUCUCCACCUUGACUAUCCAGACAAUCUCCACCUCGACUAUCCAGGUGAUCUCCACCUUGAUUAUCCAGACAAUUUUCAUCUCGGGCAGUCGGAGGUACCUCAUUCUCAAAUACCAACAAAGUAACCCAAUUUGUACUUGUCAACCAAUACACAUAUCCUCACAAUUGAUUGUUUAACCCUUAUCAAAUCAACCACCCAAGAUAUGUUGGGCCUUGUUCAACUGGCUCAAGAGUUUGCCCAACCUCCCACCUGCUCAGCAUGCAUAUGUUAGAAAUGUCUAACUCCUUCUUUCAGAUAAAAUUGGUUGACAGUUUUAUGCUUGGUUGAAGCCACUCAUAUAGAAUUUGGGAGCCAUAACAAUUACCAACAAUGUAUGAAGGAGGCAAACUUUGAGGCACCUCAAAUAUUCAAGAGUUAGAUACAACUUAAGAGGUUAUUUAUCUUACCUAACCUCAACAGGAAGUCAUCAAAAAGCACAAGUACAAUCUUGAUGUCAACUCACAUACAUAUCAGCCAAAUGGAAGAAAGUCUUGUCACCUAAGCAAGCGAUCAACUAAAGUUCAGAUAAGUCUUCUCUAACAUAUUUAUCUUAUAAUCUUUGGUUAAUUUCAUUUGUUUCAUUUUACAAGGACUAAUUGUGAAAAACAAACACCUUUCAAGUUAGGAAAACCUUCCAACUAAAAAUCUAAGGUUGAAUUAGUCUCAAAACAAAAACUCUUAUUAAUAGUCUAGCUAAAAACAAACGGUCAAGGUGAGUGACCAAACAAAAAACCUCGACCUAAAACCCACUUCUGGCAUUAGUCCUCUCAAUUCUAGAUGUACUUUGUUGAACCAUCCCUGUGGUCAUACAUGGAAAUUACCUUGAUGCAAAACUGACCUCUCACUCUUCUAGAGAUGGAUCACCUGUGUGCUUUGUGGACCUUCAAGUAAAGGUCGCACUUGUACACAAGCUCUAUCUCUAGGUAUGAGUUAACUUUAUGCCAAACCAACCUCCCUCUAUGAGCAUGUGUUAUCCUUGUGCCAAAACCUAAGUGGUCAAUUCCAACAAUUCCAGUGUAUAAAAGAACUUAACCUGAAUAUUUUUCUACUAUCCACUCUAAAAGCAUUACAUGCAAACUAAAUGAUUGAACUUGCCUAUUGACUUGUGGCAUAAGAAUUAUUUCAGGGCAAAACAAGUUACGAAAUAAGUCCACCUCAUGAUUAGAUCACUUAAACAACAGAUCGAGAAACUCAAGCUAGCAAAUAAUGAUAACCUCUUAAUCAAGAGUAACAAGUUGGGGAACCUAGCUAGAAAGGUUGGCCCUAGCAGAAAGGCAUCCAAGACCCUUACCUCACAUAAGGGGAAGUGGGUGGGAAGAAAAAAACUAGGUCUCGAAUAAUGAAGUAUGACAUCAGAAUUUACAACAAACAACUUGGGAUUUGUGUGUUAUCUAUCUAUGUUACUUCCAAUUUGUGAUUGGAUACAAUAUGAAGGAAUCUCGAAAAAUAGCAUCACAAGACACAACCUUAUUAUUAGUUGGCCCCAAACUGAAAAUCAUUCAAAUGUGAAAGCUUUGAGUUGAACAAUGUUGGGACGUAAAUGCAAAAAAUUAUCUACGGAGGUUCAUUAGUUAAAAUUGCAAGUCAACUCAGCCUAAGAGGCAUCAAAGCAGUAGAACUGAGAAUGUGCAUCACCUACAACUUCCUAUUUAUUUCAAAAAAAACUACAUAUCCGUUAUGUGGCCUUAAAGUUCAACCUGCAUAAGAAACCCAAUCGAGCAUCUUUACCAUUGUUAGCAACUCAUGAUACUAGCUAACAAUUGUGAAUGACUACUCUUCUGAGUUUUCCCUAUUAACUUACAACGACCUACUAUCAUAUGGUUCUACUAAUUGUCUGGAUAGUCAAUACAUAGCUCCGCUAACUCUAUGAACUAUUCCUAAAAUAUUACAGCAACAACCCCCAACCAAGGAAAAAUGCAAACUACCUCGUUAAUGUAAGGUAAACACCUAAGGAAUCCUUGAUAAAAUUUGUUUAGUUAUUCAUAUCAGAAAUAGUGCAAGUAGAAAGCAAUGAUCAAAGAACUAUGACAAAGGCCUUUAGAAAAGCCUUGUCUACAAGAAGUCCACUACUUGGGUCAUUAGUAAGGGAUAACCUUCCCCACAUACCAGAUCAAGCUAGAUGAACAACUUGAAUUAAACCUUACAGAAAAAGCUACGAUAUCACAAUUCGCACAAUCAACACCUACCUACUUGACAAGGCUGAGGGAAAAAAUCAAGUGGCAAUCAAAUCAAUGUUAGUCACAACACAACUAGAAGAAAAGUUGGUUUGAUAUAGGAAGUUCAACCAAUAUAUUCUUUGACAACUUCUUUCAGCAAAUGAAUAAGUCAUGACUUUGACUCGAAUUGUAAGCUCUUAUGGAAAAUCUUCCAAUGCCUAGAUUAACUUGACCUUGGAGCAAAAGUAGAACUAAAGUCUCUUUCCUGAUGAAAAAGUCUCAGUCUCCUUACAACAUCAUUCUCAAGCAACAUUUUGUGGAUGCAGUAUCUCCAUCUUACAAUAAGAUGCUUGAGUUGGGAAAGAGAUCUAACAAUGAUAUUAUGCUUAAAUUCCAAAUCCAUCUCAACCUGAGAUAGCUCCGCAAAAAGGUUAACCAAACAGGAUGACAUACUCAUCCCCUAAUCUGGUUCAAAUGAGAAGAGUGCAUCAAAAACAACAAAGUAUCACCAAAAAAAUAACACAAAAUGAGGAACGAGUGGUAACUACAUUGACCUUAAUAAAGUUUGUCCUAAAAUUAGUUCUCCCCCGCCAAAGAUGGGCCAACUUUUGGACUCAAUAUCAUAACAUGAGGAAAAAAAGGUUCAAGAACCCUCAACCAUCUUGUGAGCUUACUCAACUAAAAGCAAAGGAGCAUUAAUCGUAAUGUUGAUCCAUCAAGAAUGAUAAACAAAAACUACAACCAAAAGGUAGAGACUCUUACAGGUGCUAAAACAGGUAUUCAAAAUAACCUCAUAAAAGGUGUGUUUGUGACCCCAACUUGAUGGUAGCAAAGUGCCCAAACCAUGAAACCAAGCACACCUAAAAAGGUACUAUGUCUAAACUAUAUAGCUAGUUUUAACAAUUUUGGAAUGUUUUAAUUACCUCAAUAAACUUCGCACCUUAUCUCGAUCCUCACGUAUGUGCUUGCUAAAGUGAAAUUUGCAAGAUUGAGAAAGACUGGGCAAUAAUCCUCUAGGAAGAGUUGUUCAUACAACUGAGAUCUAAGCCCUAUUACCAAAAGACAACCAAAGCCAAGCAAUUGGUUGAACCUCAUCUGGUCUAUAUUAAUUAGAAUUAUGAUCAAUUUUGUUAGCCAAGAACUAAAACAAUUAUCAUUUGGGACCAUUCACCUCUCUAAGAAGUCAAGGUCAUAAUUUGUCACUUCCUCUGGCCAAAUAAGUGGGUCUAUAAGCCUGCAACACUACACAUAUUUCCCCAAUCUUCCCUACCAUGUAUCAAACUAAAUUUCACUAAGCAACAAUUAGUACACAUUUUUUAUCACACAAAACCCACACAACAACAAAAAGUUGAAUAAGCCCAAUAAUUGGCACAACGCACAUAAAGUGUGGUCAUCAACACCCCACAAACAACAGAAAGAAAGAGAAAAAAAACUAACAUUGACACAAUUCAUCAAAGUUGCAAUCAUCAAAAUUAGCAAAACAAUGUAGCAAAAGAAAAAAACCCCACAUAAGCACCAUUCAUCAAAGUAUUCUCCUAAUGAAGUGUAAAAAAAUGGUCAUCCUCAUCAUAAUGGUCUAAAGUAUGGAAAAUACCGCCAUCAUCAAGGAGACUUUAGCAAAUGAGUUAUAACAAGUACAAGAGGGUCAUACUCUUUGCUCUUACUAGCAAGCCUAGUCUUGUUUAUAUUAAAGCUCUUGAUGCAAAGGCAUAUCAACCCCACACCUAUAAAUGAGGUAGAAAGAUUUGUAUCACCAUUUGAUUGUUCGCCUUGACCUGAUCAUCCAAUAUGCAUGGAAGCUGAUCAUUGGGAUCCUCAACACUUGUGAAUAAAACAAAAAUGAGUAAGACGUGUCAACCUCAUCAACAAACAUCAUAUCCUUGGCAAAAGUGGGAAUCAAACACAAAGAUUUUUUCUUUCUCGCCAUUCCUAGGGAAGAUCAAGACCUAAACCCACUCAUAGACACUCUUAUAUCAAAUACUAAGAGGAAUCAUGUGAUCCUUCGAAGACCCAACCUCAUCACAUGCAGAAUUGGGUCAUCACCAACUAAGCCCUGAUCAAUGCUUAACACUUAAGUGAAACAAAAGACAACUAAAUACAAACGAAAAGAAAGCUAGCGACAAGCAAAGAAACCACUUAAAAUGUCAAAACUAGACAAGCCAACGUCCUCAACUUGAGCUACAUCUAGUUGGAACUAUUUGAUUGAACUUAUGGCAUGACUUGAACUCAAAGCAAAGGUUUCCACACGAACAUUCGAUUGAGCUACUUACUCCAAUAUGACACCUCAAACAAGACUUUGUAAUACAAAACCAUAUCUCACAAUUGCAACACCAGCUAAAACAACAACAAAAUAAGCAUCAACAACAAAUGGAAAAUAUCCCGGCACGCCAAAAUGACCUCAUAGAUCAACUACAAAACAGCCUAGCCAAUUCACGGCCACUAGGCUAACCAAAUUGACGUUGGGAGGAAAGUGCAACGAGUUGCAUGCAUGAAGCCCCAUCAACCUGGGUUAAACCAAAAAAAACUAGCCAUCAUUAGCACACUAUCCGAGAUCGUUACAAAGUCCUACCCUCUUCUAGUCAUAGAAGAUGUCAGGACUUGGGAGGGACUAGAGGUACCAAAAAUUAACAUAUCUUUAAUACACCACCUCCCAAACAAGGUACAUGAAAAGACACAAAAUCAUCUCAUCCUAAAACCAAGACCAUAAAAGAAGAUGACCUCUCAGACUUGUAGGAUGACAUGACUACAAUCUUGAAGUUGUACUUCUAUAGUUGGGCCCUAAAAGAGAACCCGGUAGGGAGGAAGGGCAGCAUAUAAACCUUGUCCAAUGGGCAUGGUAGCACCUUUGAGGAAGAAAGUCGUUUGUGAAAGCAUUGGAUGAGAAGAUCAUGGCACAAUGCUACUUCAAAAAAAUGAGCACUAUAUUCCUAAUAAUCAAACUUAAUCAUGAAAACUUUGAAAAUAGUGAGAAUUCUCUUACCUACAAGUAUAAAGACAAAUAGACGGAAGGUAAAUAAAUCAUUAAUAGAACUUAAAAUAAUAAAUUGAGCAAAUAAACAUAUGGUAAAAUUGGAACUCAUGAUCCUCCUACUAAAUAAUACCAUAUUGGAUAACUAAAUUUUUUAAGAACUUAAACAUAAGAUUUGGAUCUUUAUGAUCGUGUAUCAUGCUUUCUAAUAAUAUAUUAAAUACUUUUCUAGAUUUUGUGUUGACUUGUGAUUACUUCUCUAAAUCAAUUUUUCAGCAUCCUAUAUAUAUGUAUUUGUUAGGAUGGAUCAAUUUUUCAGAAUCAAUUAUCAAAGAAUGCAAAAAUAUAACUCCUCAUAGAGUCUCUUGUUUUUCCUCUACGACUUAAAAGAAGUCCUUAGUGCUUUCACAAGGAAAUAGGAUAAUUUUUUUUAUCUUCAAACCUGCACAAAGAUAUGGAAACCAUAUCAUUGAAAUAAUUAAAACGGAAAACAACUGGAAUCAAAGUGCUAUUGCCUUAUUUUUUUUAAAAAAAAAAAUCUUGGGCUUUAUGCAAAACUAAACAUUAGUUGCCUAAAUCUCCUUAAUUGGAAUACUAGAUGGGUGUAUCAAUUCAACUUGACACCUUCUUCCAUAAAUACCAAAAAUGAUAUUUGUUUUGGGAACAAGACUAGAGUUUUGAGCAGAUAUAAUACAUUUAUGAAAAAAAGAUAAUAAAAUGGAUUUUCAACUAAAAUAAUUCCCAAGCUAGUACAUUUCAACUAUGUGCGUAUCCGUAUGGCGUGAGAAUGUUUUUUUUUUUUAUAUGUUCUUUUAUAUCACAACUAUAAUUAGUAACUAGGAUUUUGAUUUUUUUAACAUAAAAUCAUAGAUAGAUAUUAUAAUUUUAAAUUUAUUUUUAAAAUCACAGUCAUCAACUAUAGUUUUAAGUUUAAAUUUAAAAUCAUAGUUAGUAACUAUUAUUUUAACCAUUUUCCAAAAAAAAUCAAAAUUAUAAUUAAUAACUACGAUUUUAUGAUAUGAAACACUCCAAUUUGAAAAUUAUUUUGAGAGGGGAUCUACUUUGUAGAUUUUUAUUUUAAAAAAAAUAAAUUAUUUUUCCUCAAACCUCAAAAAACAAACUUGUUUAGAACUAAAUUCAAUUAUACACUUCUCUAAUUUUUCUUUACCCUAAUAGAAGAUCAAUUCCAUUUUAUCACUUUUCCACCAGAAUCCUCAUGACUACUUGUAGAAUUCUUGAGAUGAAAUGAAAGAGUGGUAUGAGAUGCUUGUUUAAACUUUAGUUUCAAUCUCGAUCAAUGUUGUCCAUUCCCUUAGCUGUGCAUUAUUCCAAUGCCAGUUUUCCUCCAUAAACUCCAGGUACAAGAUUAGAUUCCGUGUGGAAUGGAUCCUGUUGUGAGACUUGACCAUCAAUAUCCUUCUCUCCAUUUGUGGGGUACUGCCCACUUGAUCACUGCUGUGGAAAUCUGACUAACACACCCAAAUUCUCAACAACCCAAAACCACAGAUUCCUGCAUCCUUCCAUCCAUCUUUCUUUAAGUAAGAUAGACAUCCAUUUGGUCUUUGUUUUUCAUUUAUUUCACUUUCUCCCAAGAAUACUAAUCUUGUCUUUAUUGACUGAUUAGUUUCAUUAGAGAUCAUCCAAGCAAAAGAAUAUCACAUUUUAUAUUAAAAAAAAAAAAAGUAUUGAAUAUAUUAGAAAGAUAUCAUCCUCGAAAAGUUGGAAAUGUAAUCUUGUGCAAGGAAAGGAAACAAGGGAGAGUCUUAAAUAAAUUGUUUCCAAAAGAGACCUAAUGACCAAUGUCUUUAGGGGUGUAUCCUUCAUGUAUAUAAAUAAGAAUUGAAAGCGAGGGAAUAUGGAAGUUUAGGGACAAGAUUUUGUUUUCUAUGAAUAAAUUAAAUGUGGCUUCAUGACUUCCAACCCUUACUUCGUCUUUCUCCACAUUAAAUAGCCCUUUUGAAAGUAUCAGUGGAGAUUGGCCCGAUUCCAAUGGAAUCGAUCACCUUUUCCAUAAUGCAUAGUUUGAUUAUGUUAGGAUGAUUAGGUCACCAACCAUUUGCUAAGCGUCAUAUCUUUUUUCUACACCAACUCAAAAACCCCACUUGGCCAAUAUGUUUUUAUUUUUUAAAACCAAUAUAAAUAAGGCAUUAACACAUCCAUUCUCAUGUUCCUCUACCUAACGUUAACCAUUUUCAUAUCUCUAGCAUAUCUCCACCCAUAAUAUCUAAAUUUUGAAGUGAUUCUAGUAAAAAUACUUUUUAAAAAAAUACUUUAAUCAAAAACACAUCAAACAAAAAUACUAUCAAACGCACUUUUAAUUUAUAUUAUUUUUUAUCAGUAACACUUUUAUUAUAAAAAAAAAAAUACUUUUAGUGGUAAUCAUUUAAUAUUUGAAUAUACAAAUAAAAAAACCUUUUUUAUAAUAUAUUAGAAAAAAAAUGGUUUUUAAAAGAAACAUCCAUCAAUAUAUUAUAUCACAAAUUAUUGUCUUUAAAACCUAAUUUUUAUUAUUAAAAAAAUGCCAAAAUUACUACCAAAUCAAUUCUAAGAAUAGUUUGAAAAUGGGUUGAACUUUUAUAUUUAUCAAGAAAAAAUUGUAGAAGUAACCACUAUCUUUGAAAAUUAUAUGUCAAAAAUAUUUUUAUUAAAGAGAAAGAUAAUUAUAAUAAAGCUAGUUGUCAUUACUUUUCAAUAACACAAAGAAAUCAUAUGGAGCUUAUAAUCAAAAGUUCUUUUCAAAUGACUAACAAAGGUUUUUAUUCCUUGAGUUGUUUUUACUACUAUUUUUAUCAUUUACCUAUGUUAUUAAUGGUGAUUAAAUGAUAAAAAAAAUAUUUAAUGCAUAUUAAUUUCUUUUCACAUCCAAUUUUCAAGUGGAUGUGCUAUAAAAAUGUUGUAAAAUAAUUUUUUUUAAAUAACAUUUUCAUGUGUGAUUUUUUAUUCAUAAUUAGUUACAGAAAAAACUUAAAAUGCUUAGGUAUUAUUAAAACGACUCCAUUUCAUAUUUGACACCAACACAUGUUAUUUUAUCAUCUAAUAUUGUUAUAUUAAAAAACACUCAAUUUAACAUGAAUAUUAUUAUUAUUAUAUAUUUAAAAUUAUUUUAAUCUUUCUAUUUAAAAAAAAAAAAAAAUUGUAUGCAUUAUCCAUAUUCCCAUGAAAUCCAAACGUGUCCCAUGAUUGUAGACUAAUUCGUCUAUAGUGUGGACGCAAUGACAAGUCAGAAGUCUCCCAUUUCUUUUCUAGUCAAUGGGCAUGUUCCACAUUUAUUUAUGAUAUUUCGGAUUACACGAAGACUUCCAAAAGCAAUUGGUUUGAUAAGCUUCAUGGAAUCUGAAGAUAAAGGAGGAUGCUACUUCCACAUUCUUUAACCGAGCGUAUCAACCACGCUCUCUCUAAUUUUUCCAUAUUCUUAAUUUCUAAAAAAAAAAAAAUUCAAUAUGGUAUAUCUAUUUUAAAAUUAUCUUUUUGAUAGAUAUUUUAUAAAUUAUUAUAAAUUUUAAAAUAUUUUUUCAACUAUUAUCCAUCUCAAAUUAUUUCUAUAAACUACCUUUUUUUUUUAUUUUAUAUUAUCUAAUUUAAACAGUAACAAGAUGAUUUCACAUAUGUUUUUUUAAGUAUUAUUAUGUGUGUCAUUUUAUCUUAAUUUCAUUCGUUUGCAUGUUGGACUUACAACAUAAAUUUCAUUACAUAUAUUCAACCAUUUAGAAUUUUUGUUUGAUAUGUAAUACUCUACCCGAAUAUGUUCUCAAAUUAUGUAUGUUAUGGGGAUAUAUAUAGAUAUAUUAUGGUCUAUUCCAUUUCCAUCACUUCAUGAGUUUCCCCUAAUCCACUUACUCCACUCUCAAUAAUGAUGAACUAUAUCUUGAAAGUGAAGUUGGCUUCACUCAUCCCCCAUAAAAGACCUAUCCUCAGGAGUCAAGACACUCGAAUUUGAACUUGAAGAGGAUAGAUCCCUGACCACCACCAUCUAUUGUCUCCUAAUAGGGGAGAUAUUAUUAGCCUUUUUUUAUUCUUUUACCCCACCUUAACCAAAAAAUAAGAUAAUCUUAUUACAAGAUUAUAAAAGGAACUUACUUUUCUUUAUUUAUGAUAUUUUUCUUUAAAUAAUUCAACUUUAUUAAAGCUAAGUUAGAUGUAAAUUCUGAUUAUUCUACUUUUGACCAAAUCAUAGCGGUGACCAACACUAGCUAUUAAAAAAUUAAAAUAAGUGAAAAAAAAACACUUUUUUUUUUUUACUUUUAUUUUUUAGCAUUCAAUUGUUAGAGCUUCAAAACAAUGAACUAAAAAGAUAAAACUAAGUGCAAGUUAAAAUAGAGAAUAAGGAACUCAAACAUUUUAUAAGACAUACUUGACUAACAUAAGUGAAAAUAAUUUUUUUUAAAAUAUAGUUCUUGCUUUGUGUGAAACAAAGUAGUAUUAUUUUUAUAUUUAUUUCAUGUUAUCCAUAAAACAAUACAAAUAACUUCAAUAGUUUGAGUGCUCUCCAAUUUUUAAAAUUCACUCUCACAAUUUCAAGCUAUAUUUGCUAAAGCUAUACGUUGGAUUUCUAAAAAUGAGGGAAUAUAUAAGUUAAUGGAUGAAGGUUUGAUUUUAACAAUAAGGAUCGUGUUAUUGUGCUCAUACAAUUCGAACCAAAAUAUACGCAACAACUCUUAAAAGUAAUGAUGUAAUGUUACUUAUGUUGGAUUUUAUGAAAAUAUCAAUAAAAAUACUUAUAUUCGUGUAAAUUUUUUGUGGUAUCUUAUAAACAUUUUAUGUUUUAUUGCUUUAUAUAUAAAUCUAAUUUCAUUUCAUUCAUCUAUAUUUAUCUUAUCUAUUUAUGCUUUAACCCCAUAUAUUUUUAUUUUCAUUCAAUAUAAAUUUUAUUAUAUAUUUUCAAUGAUAAAAACAGAUGUACAUUUAAUACCCAAACUUUUUCUAACAUUAAAGUAAAUAUAAUUUCACGAAUUUCAUAUUUUCUAUCAUCUUUACCAAAAUAAAUCGAAUGGGGUUGAUCACUUUUUUCCCAUUCCAUGAUUUGAUUGCGUGAAGAUGAUUCCAUCACCAACCAUUUACUAAGAUGUGACACCCAUUUUCUACACCAACUCAAACACUCCCCUUUUGUUAAUAGCUUUUAGCCGAUAGAAAGAAGUGAACAAAACCGUUUUCACAUUUCACCUACCAAGGCUAAGAAAUAUAAAUAGAAAUAGAAAUAAUUACUAUUUGUUAAAUAUAUAUUUUAUGUUUUAAAUAUAUAUUUUUAUUAAAAAUAAAAAUAAUCAUGAUAUUAAUUUGUUAAAAUUUACUCUUACAUCAUCUAAUAUAAAUGAAUCAUGUACGAAAAUGCAAGAAUUAUGAUCAAGAGUUCCAUCCAGCCAAUUAUAAAAAUGAUGUUUUACCUUUAACACAGGCUCUUCUAAUUCAAAUCUUUAUUCAUUUUCUCUUAUUGUUAUUAUUUAAAUAUAUGAUUAAUCAUGAUUAGAUAUUACAAAAACUUUCAUAUUUAAUAUAUUCUUUUAUCAUCGAUUAAGUUUGAACUUUUUUUUUGUUUGUGUAUAUCUUUAUACUUUUUCUUCUUACAAUUUUUUUUUUCACAUUUUAAUAUUUUUAUCAUAUACCAAAGCUUCAUUUAAAAUUUUCGUGUUUUUGAUCAUUUUUUAUUUGUAUAAAAAUUUACAUGAAUAUAAAUAUUUUUAUUGAUAUUCUGAUAAAAUCCAACAGCAGGGACAUUUCAUCAUUGCUUCUUGAGGUGGUGCGUGUAUAGUGCAUAUAGCAUGGGAAUAAGGACACGUCUCCUUUCUGACUAUUCAAUUCAAUGCCCUUUCACAUUCAUUUAUUAAUUGUUUGGACUAUAUGAAGACUUGUGAAAGCAACCUUCCCCCGUUUUCUUGACGCAAGCUGCUACUUCCACGUGAGCAUGCCAAACACGCUUAGGGCCUGUUUGUUGGUGUUUUCAAAUACAUUUUUGGAAACAGUUUUUAGUGUUUUCAGAAAUAAAAUUAUAUUUGAAAACUAAAUUCUAAAAAAUAAUUUUUAUUCUCGAAAAUAAAAAGAAUAAAAAAACAUGUUUAGUUCAAUUAAUAAAAAUAAUUUUUAAUAACAAAUAAAACAAAAAAACUUGUUUGGAAAAUAUUAUUGUUGGUUUUGUUUUUUAAAGUCGAGUAUUUUAUUUAACUAAUUGAUGUUGUAAAUAUAUAAAUAAUUUUUCUUCAUAAAAAUAAAAAUGUUCCAUUUUGAACAUUUUUUACAUCAAUUUUAAUUUUUUUAAACAAAUUAUUACUUUGUAAACAUGUCUAAAUAUGUUUGAUUUCAAUAAUUGAUAAACCAUUUUAUCAAAAUAUCAUAAAUCGAUAAAUAUCAAUAAUUAGAUUUUAUGAAGAUAAAAUUUAUGAUAUCAAAUAAUAAUGCAUUAUACUUGGAAAUUGAUGAUCUAUCUUUUCUACUAAUAAUAUAUUUAUGAUAAUUUUUUAUUUAAAAAUAUUUAUAAUUUUAUUUUAAAUUAAAUUUUAUUUUAUAUUUAAGAAUUAUAUAAAAGAUAAUUUUUUUUAAAGUAAAUCAAACUAAUUUAUUUAUAAAAAUUUAUUAAUUUUUACUUGGAAUCCUUGUUCUCUUUUCUCUCCUUCUCCUCAUAUUCUCUUUGUUUCUCUUCCAAGACUCAAACUUUUAUUCAGUGAAAUUGAAUUAUUUCUCUCCUCAAAUAUCAACUCAAUAAAGUCAAAAGUCAAAAUCUAGAUCUAUGAUUGUUGUAAAGAUUCUUGGUUACGAUUUCAUCUUUUAUGUUAUUGUUUAUGUUUUUGUUUGGUUUUUGAGAAAUCCUAGAAUUUAUGGAAGUUUCAGCUUUGAAAUGCAUUAAAAAAAACAUAUUAGGAUAAAAUCCCAAAAUAUCCGAAAAAUAUUGAAAUGGAAAUAAAGAAAAAAUAAAUAAAAAUAAAAAUUGUCGAUUAAGUUGAAUUUUUGUUAAACCGAAUUUUCAAUUUUCUAAUUUUUCCCAUUUUCCUUGGCAGUAUAAAAAAAAAAAAGAUAUAACAAUUUUUCUUUUUCUUUUUUAACUUCACAACACAAAAAACAUCAUUUUAAAACCAAGUUUUAGAAAAUUGAGAACAAAAAAACACUCUCUUAUCAAACAUGAUUUUUGUGUUUUUUGUUCUAAAAAAAAAACAGUUUUUGAAAACACUAACCAAACAAAUCCUUAAUGACUCAUUUUUCUUUUUUCUUUUUUACUUAUUUGUUUAUUCUGUUUUCUGUUUUUAUUUAUAAAGAAAAUAAAAAUCAAGUUUAAAACACAUGUUUAGAUAUUAUUCUUAAUUUUCAUUCUUGAAAAAUUGAGUUCAAAAAAGGUCAAAAAUGAAAAUAAUAAUUUGGUGCUUUUAAUUUUUUUUUUUAUGGCAAUGUUUUUCAAUCUAACAUAAAAAUAGAAAUAUUAUCUUUAGAAUUAAUUAUAAAAUUAUAGUCAAUAAUUUUGUACAUUAUUUUAAAAUAAAAAUAUAAUCAAAUACAAAAUAAUAAAAUAAAACAAGGAACAAAUAUGAUAUAAUAACAUAUAGUAGCAUAUAAUAUAUAAUGUAUAAUAUCAAUAAAUAACAACUAAUAAAAUUAUUAUAUAUGUUAUAUUGUAUGCGCAUGAGGUUUUUGGUAAAUCAAUUUAAUGUUUUAAAGUGACUUCAUAACUUGAUUUAAAUUAUUAAAUAAAUUAAAAUUUUGAUAAAAUAAUUUAAUAUCAGAAUUUAAAAUAAAAAUAAUUUUAAGUGUUAAGUCAAAAUAGUUAAUUUAUUCUUAAUGUCAAAUCAUUUUUAUUAGAUUUUUACUUUGUUUGGUAAAAUUGAGUUAAUAUUUUGAAAUUAUCAAAUUUACAUAUUUAUUUUUCUUAAUUUUAAGUAAUAAAUUUAUUUGUUACACGUUUCCAAAUAUAUAAAAUAAUUACAAUAAUUACUAAAUAUUUAGCUUAAAGAAAAUGAGUCAUGGAUAUAAGUCAUGCAUAUUAUAUAAAUUAGUAUUACAUGUGUGAGUAAAUAAGAUAGAAAUGAUUUAACAUUCAAAAUAAAUUUAUUAUUUUAAUUUAAUAUUUAAGAAUUAGUUUUAAUAUUUAAUAACUCAAAUUAAGUUAUUAAUCCAUUAUAUUGAUUAAUUUAUCAAACACCUUUUAAAAAUCUUUUUUUUUAGUGCCCAAAAAUAAAAUCAAUAAAAUUAUAUUAGUUUUUUGUUCGUCUCACGAUUUAUUUUAUAUGUUGAUCUUACAUUCCAAUUAUUGAUACUUUAAUAACAUACAUUUUGUAUCACCGUGAAAUCAUCUAAACUUAACCUUGCACUGUUGGUACUGAACAACUCCGUGUGUUACAUGCUGGAUGGCCUAGAAUUUUCCUUCUUCCUGUGGUUAGUUGCAAUAGAUUUUCCGGCACUGCAACGUUGGACACGACAGUUGAAGGAGCGCGGACUUAAAAGUAAAAGUGACGUGGAAAAUGAGAGAAAAGAUAUAAAAAGAAUAUGCUGAGGUCACAUUGCCAUUGUCAAUCGAAUCAUAAUUGUGGAAAUGAAUUCUCUAGUGGACCAACCAGCAGCGUGUUGAGUGGCACCCCGGCGCCCACGCCCCAUUGGUCAGCUUGCUUUUGUGGUGUGCAAGGUUUAUUCCAAACCUUUUGAUCAGUGGUUAUACAAGUAGCACAAAUCCGUGUGAGUAGCACAAAACACUGAGUUCAUUGGUCGUGGCUCCUUCGCAAUUAAUUCCAACAAGCAGGUCAGUUUGUAAAAUUCAGUAUAAUAAAUUCUGUCAGCGCCCCAGAUUUUGAAAUUGAACCGUUGGUUUCCACCACAUUCCCAGCAUUCUUCCUCCCAACUUUUGCCCGGCCAUCUUCCUACCUCCUCACAGAGAAUCCGGUAACGAACUCAACGUCACAAAAUGCCGAAACUACCCUUUUUAUUUGCCACAAUUCCAUUUCCCGACCAUCUUCCUCCCUUCUCACAUAGAAGUCGGUAACAAACUCAACGUCACAAAAUGCCGAAACUACCCUUAUUAUUUGCCACAACUCCAUUCCCCACCCUGUUCUUCCUCCUCAUCCUCUCCAUAUUUCAGGUAAUUUCUCAAAAUUUGGACGAUGAACGAUCAAUCCUACUAGACGUUAAACAACAAUUGGGCAAUCCACCGUCACUCCAAUCGUGGAAUUCCUCAUCCUUGCCUUGUGAUUGGCCGGAAAUUACAUGCACCGACAAUACCGUCACUGCAAUUUCACUCCACAAUAAGACCAUCAGAGAGAAAAUUCCAGCCACAAUUUGUGACCUCAAGAACCUCAUCGUACUUGACCUCUCCAACAAUUACAUUGUCGGUGAGUUCCCGGAUAUUCUCAAUUGUUCCAAGCUUGAGUAUCUGCUCUUGUUGCAAAACUCCUUCGUAGGUCCAAUUCCAGCUGAUAUUGAUCGACUUUCACAUCUCCGGUACCUAGACCUCACCGCAAACAACUUCUCUGGAGAUAUUCCCGCAGCAAUUGGGAGGCUACGGGAACUGUUCUACUUGUUUCUGGUUCAAAAUGAGUUCAACGGCACCUGGCCAACGGAGAUAGGUAAUUUGGCGAAUCUUGAACAUUUGGCCAUGGCCUAUAAUGACAAAUUCCGGCCUUCAGCCCUUCCAAAAGAGUUUGGCGCAUUGAAAAAGCUGAAAUAUCUGUGGAUGACGCAGGCGAAUUUGAUUGGCG
rnacentral:lncRNA from 1 species